rnacentral:lncRNA from 1 species
UUUCCAGAUUCCAUUUUGACUAUCACUUCUGAACAAGAGUUGCCUCCUUACAGAUUAUGUCAAUAUGGUCCUUCCAGAAUUAUCACUAUACUUCCAACUGUCCUUGAGCAACCAAUCUUUGGUAAACCUUAGAUUGUCCUCGACAAUUGUUUAAUCCUUUUAGUCAUAUCCAGUUCUAAACCUUUUCCCUUCUUAAUGCCCCAGGCAUUUGGAAAAUUUUAGAACGGAUGAAUAUAGCACAUGUAAUCGAUCCUAUAUCCGAAGCAUAUGGGACACGAUUCAUGAUGUCUCACAUAAAGACUAAACCAGUCUUUUGCUAUAACAUUUCCAUUUCAAUUUGCCAAGUUCUCAUAAUUCAGAUUAUGAAAAGGGAUGCCGUAAUCAUAAUCGAAUUUUAGAACGCAAAUAAUGGACCCAUAUACAGAAUUUCCUUAUGUUGAGCCAUUCCAACAUGAAAUUCAUAUAUAUCCUUGACUAAAUGAUUAAAACCUCACGAUCUAAGCUUAUAGAUUUGAGAUGAAGCAUAAUUUCCUCUCCCUUAAUUAUAGCAAAACAACUUUUUCCCAAUUGAAACUUUUGUUUUCUAUAAUUAACAUUGCUAACUUGCAAUACUUAUCAUAAUUAUCAUGCUCCCACUAACAUGAUGAUUAUUAGCAUAACACUUAUGCUCCCACUAGCUUUGACAUGUACUCAGAAAUCAGCUGGACUUCUAGAAAUCAAUACUUCAUUGACUUUCUUACCAAAGUUCAGAUUUCUGAUACUAGAUUGUUUUGAUAAAACUUUAUCAAAAUCAUACACCUUCCCUUAGAUAGCACACUUGUGUAUCUAAACAAUUAUGAAGAGGGAUGCCGUAAUCAUAAUGGUUAGACCUUUUUGCCACUUCUCACAAGUCCAGGUUAGUGUGCCGGUUAACCACACGCGCUCCACUAACGACUUUGAGAAUGCAAAUAUCACAAUUGCUAUCUAGCUAAAAUCUACUUAGUGAAAGUGUUUCCUCACCAUCAUUUUCAUGAAUCGGAGAGAAACCUUAUGACACUUAGAUUUAAUGGUGUAUGUGUUCUUAUCCAUGUGAAUUGUCAAAAUCAUAGUCACAAGACAAGGAUAAUGACAAAUCCAAACUCAUAUGGACUGAACUCAAUCUUAAUUUCUUGCCACCUGGCAGCUCAAGGGCCUACCAUUGCUUCCAAGUUGUUGUGCAACAAAUUGAGAACUCUAAGAACUCAUAUGCAAAGCCAACUUUAACUGGAAUGGGCACAGAAUAUGUCAACACGAUAGGUUAUAAACCUCAAGUCGUGUGCUAGUGAAGAACUUCAGGUUUUAUUCUUGAUUAGUUCUUGAGACUUUCAAGACCUUUAAGACUCCCACUGUCCUCUUGACAUAUAAGACUCCCUUGUCAAACAUCCAAGAGAUAGUGCGGAUUCUAAUCAAGAAAAACACUUUACCCAAUUGGCCUAAGUUGGUCUUUGUUUUAUCCAAAACAUCACAACUUACCAAUUUCAAAUGUACAAGAGUAGAAAACUUUUACUCUUACAUUUGACAAGUGUUUUAAACCUUCUUUAAGACAUGUCACUCAAAUGACAAUCUUGGAGUAUGACUCUAAGACUUGUAUUGGAACGAAGUAUGACUCAUCUUCUUGAUUUAACCAUUUCAACAAUUCAAGUUCCUCUUCUUAGUCAUAAGAAUGCACUAAGAUUUCCUUAGAGAACUAAUUUUGAUAUGGUUUCUUAAUCAUUAAGAUGAUCACAAAACUGAUACUAAAGUACUCUCCCAUCUUUUCAGAUUUGAGAAACUUUUAUCCUUCUGCCUUAUUUGAUUCUUCUUAUUCGCCCUGCCAUACAUUGGAACCUUUUCCAAUGUCUCAGAGUUACACUUAAGCUUGUAAGUAUAAUCAUAUUUACUGAGCUUUAGUAAACUAUGACGAAUAGUCUUAUCAAUCUUUUGUGGUGGACUUAAUCAGUGCACAAGAAUGUGUACUCGAUCCCUUAGUCCUUUACUUGACUCACACAUCCAUGUGGCCGAGUAAUUAGUCUUAAUUUUCCAAAACUUGAAAGUUCUCAUUCAUCAUGCUAUACAACUUGCAUGAUUCCAAGUUCCGGUCCAAUUGAAACUUGGGUGAUGAGAAUCUUUCCUUAUUUGGUAAAUCUAGACAUUACCACAAAUGAAAGAAUCAAUUUCAUAUUUCCACUCUUGCUCUUAAUGGAAUCAUAUAAGCAACAAUUUUUCCUCAAAAGCCAUUGUAAGGAUAUUUUAAAAUAAAUAAAAUCAAAAAAAUUUUCUUUUAUUUUAAAACUUUGCGGAAAAACUUAUCCUUACAAUCCAUAUGAAAACUUGUUGUUAUCUAUUCCUAAGCAAUAUCUCAUAACUCCUAAGAAGUUGCUCAAGAAUCCGAUCUUCAAACUAUGCGAUAGAAAUCCAUCUACGCCAUCAGAUUCAGCAUAUUCUUUCUUUAAGUUUCUUCACUUUUCUUUGAUUCUUAAAACAUCACCAUGUGACCCAGUCACAUCAUGUAUCAGGAAUCUCAGAAUAGAAACUUAACAGAGUUAGAUAGUGGUCUUUACCUGAAGUAGAGUCAAACUUAUUGACUUUAACAUCCUUAGGUAAAUUUGGCAGCUUCGCAACCAAUGCCCCUUCCCUUGGCAAUAUAAACAUAUGGACCCUUUGAUAAUGGUACACGAGACUAUCACAGACUUAGCUUUUCUCUUUACCAUUUGGUCAACCGAGUUGACUAUGGCCGAUCCCUUUCCAUUGGGAAGAGAAUGCUUUACUGGAUAUCCAAUGUCAUCAUUGUCAAUGUCCAUAAAGUUUUAGGAAGUUGAUCUUAGCAAAUAGAUAAGAUCAUUAAGGGUCUUGUCAUAGUCUGUUUCAUAGGUGUCCCAAAGGAACUCACUAUGUGACUUAGAAAGUGAUUGAACCACCAACUUUCUCAAGACUUUGACACCCAACUCUCCCGGCUUGUCAAUAUGUGACUACAUCUCCAAGAUGUGAUCACACCUAGACCUUGCCUUGCCAAUAGGGCUUGAGUGACCUUAAACUUUUCAAGAACUUGUGGGUUAGGGAGAAUAAUUGGAGGAGGUGAAAGAAGUAUGAUUUCCAAAGGACAUCAUCUUCAUUUAGGAAACCUUGUUUCACUAGAUUUGGGAAGAUCAUAGGUGUCUAUUACAGACAUCUUUUGGGAGAUAUUCAAGAUAGUUGAUUUAAAGUCCUUAAUAUGACACCCAAUAUGAAAUAUUAAGGCUAGGACCCAACAAACUAUUUUAUAACUUAGAAGAGGUAUGCCGUAAUCCAAGCUAUAAAAUAUUUGAAGGUAGGUGAAUGACGAUUCACCAAUUUCCACCAAGAUAAACGAAAUGUAUUAUUAGGUUUUAAUUGGUUUUGAAACUCCUAGAUCUUUGAGAUUCAUUGAACUUUUCAAAGGCAUGUUUCAAUCUCGAGUGUGCCCUUCAGGUUUUGUGACUGGGAUGCCGAGGAUCACAAAACAAGGUGUGAAGUAACCAUGCAAAUCACUUGGUACCCUUAAUAAAUUACCCCUCAAUCGAUGUGCCGGUUAACCACACACGCUCCAUCGAUACUAUGAUAAAUAUUAAGUCACCCUUUACCUACCUUGUUAAGUCCAAGUUAGUGUGCCGGUUAACCACACACGCUCCACUAACGACUUAGACAAAGUGUAAAGUGUAAUUUCAUGGAUUAGCACCUUAUUCACAUUUUUCCUAAGUAACUAAGAUUGGGUAUUAUUAAGAGUUUAGUUACUUAGUAUUAUCAUUAAUACUUUUAAUGAAGGGAGAAUUCUAGUCCUGUCAAACCCGUUCGGCUAACGACCCUCCACCAGUCAAGCAAGCGGUGGGUGAGAGUGGACACCCAUUAAGUUGCCAUUUUAUAGGCAACAACCUUAUACCCACCUUAUAGACCGGCUUCGUGAAUGAGGCGUACUAGCGGUAAGACUGACUUUACUCUUAUACAUAUAUAUAUUAUUAACUUAUAAUAUUAUAAAGUAUAAGGGUUGAAUUUUAACUUUUAAAAUUCUAAGGGCUAACUUGGAAUUAAAGUAUUCAUAAGUGAAAACUUUACAAAUUCCAAAACUUGAGGGCAAGUUUUGAAACUAUUCAAAACUAAUUAAUUCCAUAACUUAUGUGUUUAAAGUAGUUUUAAUCCAAAAACUCUUCAAGUUCCAUAACUUGAGGACAAGUUAUGGAAGACUUUAAACUAAUAAAAGAAUUAACUUUUCUUUAUUUUAUAACUUAUGGAAUUAAUUAAGGUUACACUUUUUUUUUUUUUAUUUUAUUUUAUUAAAUGAAGAGACUCUUGGUCCUCCAUAACUUGAGGACAAGUUAUGGAGUCAUAAAACCAUUUAAUUAGAACUAGACUCUUCAUUUUUGUAACCUUUGCCAAUUUUUAUGAGUUUUAUGAUUCUUAAAUGUGACUUUUCAUAUAACUUGAGGACAAGUUACAAAAACACAUUUUAGAAUCAAUUCUUAGAUUAAUUUGGAUUAAAACCAACUAUCACAUAAUUUUAUUCAUUAAUCUAAAUUCACUCAUAAAACAAGGUAACACAAAAAACUUUUGGUGAUCCAUAACUUAUUCUUAAGUUAUGGAAUCCUUUAAAACAUUAACACCAAAUUUUGUAACUCCAAAAAAACUUUGAAUCAAUUUUUUUUUUAAAACCUUUUCAUAUCCAUAACUUAUGGAGGUUUCAAAAAAUAAAACUCUUUAGAUCAAACUUUUAAAACUAAUAAAAUAAUCAUAUUAUUUUAUCUUUUAUUAAAUUUGACCUAAUUCAACUCAUAAAGCAAAUUAUUCAAAUUUUACAAAUAAUUAGUUUUUCACAAGAACAAGUAAUUAUCUUAAAAUUUGACAAACUUCAUGUUUUUUUUUUUUUUUUUUUUCAACUUUGAAAAUAAAAUAUUUGCAUCAAUAUAACAGAAAACAACCCGUGGCUCUGAUACCACUGUUGGGUUUUGAGCAUUCUAACACUUCCUAAGUGUACAUGCAACCCUAAAUACCUUGGAUCUAUGUUUUCUCUAUUAUACAUGCAAAUAAGAACAUCCAAGGUAUUAUCCUAAUCUAGCAUACAAAAACUAUGAAUGUAACAAGAUAGAAUACAUACCUCUUGAUGUAGCUUGAUGUCUUCAAGCUUUAAGAGCUUAGCCCCAAUAGUGUGGAAGCCUCAAGUGGAAUCACAAAUCACCAAGACACCUUGGAAUACUUUAGAGAAUAUGAUUACUUGGUUCUCUCUAGUGAAAUUGGCUAGCCCUUCUUUAGUGUAUCCACACUAGUGCCAAUUUCACCAACCAAAGACAUCUUUAUAUAGUAUGGAGGAUUAGGGUUAAACCCUAAUACCCAUGACCUUUCAUUUCCUAGGAUCCAUGGGUUAAACACUCCAUGGACUAUCCAUGAAAGCUUAGCCCAACCUAAAUGAACUUGGCCCAUUCCAUAUAUAUAAGAGUCCAUAUUUAAUUAGUUCCUUUUGAUCACUUAAUUAAUUAUAAAUUAAUUCUUGAUCAAUACUAAUUAAAUAAUAUGAUUCCAUAUUAAUAUAUUAGAACUUAUAAUAUAUUAAUAUUAAUCAUAAACAUACUAUUCUCAAAAGAUUAUCCAUAUAAAUUGUGUCGGUGAAGUGCAACCCAAAUGGACCAUGCCGGGUCGGGUCAAGUACAUACCAAAUAUAGUUAUGGACUUAGACAUUAAUCCAACAGUGACUGGGUCACAUGUUGAUGUUUUAAGAAUCAAAGGAAAAGUGACGGAAACUUAAAGAAAGAGUAUGUUGAAUUUGAUCGCGAAGAUGGACUUCUUUCGCUUGGUUGAAGAUUGAAUUAUUGAGCUACUUCUUAGGAGUUAUGAUAGAUUGCUAGGAAACAUGUAAUAACAUAGUUUUCAUUUCAAGUUACAUUGUAAGGAAAAAGUUUUUUCCGCAUUUUAAAAUAAAUAAAAGUUUGUUUUACUUUAUUUUUUCUCCUUACAAUGACAUUCAUGAAAACUUGAUGUUUGUAUGUUUAUAACAAUAUUGGAAAUAUGAAUUUGAUUCUUUCAUUUGUGGUAGUGUCUAAAUUUACUAAAUAAGGAAAUAUUCUCAUCACCUAAGUUUCAAUUAGACCGAANUUGAAUUUGAUCGCGAAGAUGGACUUCUUUCGCUUGGUUGAAGAUUGAAUUAUUGAGCUACUUCUUAGGAGUUAUGAUAGAUUGCUAGGAAACAUGUAAUAACAUAGUUUUCAUUUCAAGUUACAUUGUAAGGAAAAAGUUUUUUCCGCAUUUUAAAAUAAAUAAAAGUUUGUUUUACUUUAUUUUUUCUCCUUACAAUGACAUUCAUGAAAACUUGAUGUUUGUAUGUUUAUAACAAUAUUGGAAAUAUGAAUUUGAUUCUUUCAUUUGUGGUAGUGUCUAAAUUUACUAAAUAAGGAAAUAUUCUCAUCACCUAAGUUUCAAUUAGACCGAAACUUGGAAUCAUACAAGGUGUUGAGUGUGAUGUGUGAGAAUUUUCAACUUUGUAAAAUUAAGACUAGUUCCGUGUUCACAUGUAUAUGUGACUCAAGAGAAGGACUAAGUGAUCAAGUACACUUUCUUGUGCACUUGUCAAAGUCCACCAUAAAAGAUGGAUAACACUAUUCGUCAUGAGUUACUAAUGUUUAGUAAAUAUGAUUAUACUUACAAGUGUAAGUAUAAUUCUGAAACAUUGAAAAAAAUUUCAAUGUAUGACAGAACGAAUAAGAAUAAUCAAAUUAGGCAGAAGGAUAAAAGUAUCUCAAAUCUGAAAAAAUGGGAGAGUACUUUAGUAUAAUGUUUUAAGAUCAUCUUAAUGAUUUCGAGACCUUAUCACAAUUCAUCCUCUAAGUGCAUUAUGAUAGUUAAUAAGAGGAGUUAUGAAUUGUUGAAGUGGUUAAAUCAAGAAGAUGAUUCAUACUUCGUUCCAAAAACAAUUCAUAGAGUUAAACUCUAAGAUUGUAACUUGAGUGACAUGUCUUAAAGAAGGUUUAAAACACUUGUCAAAUGUAAGAGUAAAAGUUUUCUACUCUUGUACAUUUGAAAUUGGUAAGUUGUGAUGUUUUGGAUAAAACAAAGACCAACUAAGGCCAAUUGUGUUAAGUGUUUGUCUUGAUUAGAAUCCACACUAUCUCUUGAAUAUUUGGAAAGAAAGUCUUAUAGGUCAAGGAGACAGUGGGAGUCUAAAAGAUCCUGAAAGGGUUUCAAGAUGUAAUCAAGAAUAAAACUUGUAUUUCAUCACUAGAACACAACUAGAGGUUUAUAACCUAUCGUGUUGACAUUCCUGUGCCCAUUCCAAUUAAGUUGGCUAUAUAAUUGAGUUCUACAUGUUCUCAACUGUUUGCAUAGCUCCUUGGAAGCAAUGGCAGACGCUUGAGCUACCAGGUGGCAAGAAGUUACGAUUGCACAAGUUCAAUCCAUAUGAGUUAGGAUUUGUCACUAACCUAGUCUUGUGAUUAUGGUUUUGACAAAUUCACAUGGAUAAGAACACAUACACCAUAAAAAUCUAAGUGUCAUAAGGUUUCUCUCCGAUUCAUGAAAAUGAUGGUGAGGAAAUUCUUUCACUGAGUAUAUUUUAAGUAGAUAGAAAUUGUGAUAUUUGCAAUUCUCAAAGUCGUUAGUGGAGCAUGCGUGGUUAACUGGCACACUAACAUUGACUUAUGAGAAAUGGAAAAAAGUCUAAACAAUUGAGACUAUGAUUACGGCAUCCCUUUUCAUAGUUCUGAAAUUGUUUAGACACACCUGUGAGCUAUCUGAGAGACGUGUAUGAUUUUUGAUAAAGUCUUAUCAAGACAAUCUAGUAUCAGAAAGUUGAACUUUGGUAAGAAAGUCAAUAAAGUUUUGAUUUCUAGAAGUCCAGUUGAUUUCUGGGUACAUGUCAAAGCUAGUGGGAGCAUAAGUGUUAUGCUAAUAAUCAUCAUGUUAGUGGGAGCAUGAUAAUUAUGAUAAGUAUUGCAAGUUAGCAAUGUUAAUUAUAGAAAACAAAAGUUUCAAUUGGGAAAAAGUUGUUUUGCUAUAAUUAAGGGAGAGGAAAUUAUGCUUCAUUUCAAAUCUAUAAGCUUAGAUCGUGAGGUUUUAAUCAUUUAGUCAAGGAUAUAUAUGAAUUUCAUGUUGGAAUGGCUCAACAUAAGGAAAUUCUGUAUAUGGGUCCAUUAUUUGCGUUCUAAAAUUCGAUUAUGAUUACGGCAUCCCUUUUCAUAAUCUGAAUUAUGAGAACUUGGCAAAUUGAAAUGGAAAUAUUAUAGCAAAAGACUGGUUUAGUCUUUAUGUAAGACAUCAUGANAUACUCAAAAUUCGAGUAUGAUUACGACAUCCCUUUUCAUAGUCAAAUUUUGAGAAUAUGGCAAACAAAAUUAUUAUGGCAAAAUACUAGUCUAGAACCAUGUCUUUAUGUGAAACAUCAUGAAUUGUGUCCCAUUUACUUUGGGUACAAGAUCGAUUAUAUGUGCUAUAAUAUUUAUCUUUUCUAAAUUUUCUAAAUGCCUUGGGGCAUUAAGGAGGAAAAUGUCUAGAAUUGGAUAUGACUAAAGUGAUUAAGCAAUUGUCGAGGACAAUCUAAGGUUUACCAAAGAUUGGUUGCUCAAGGACAAUUGGAAGUAUAGUAUUAAUAUUGGAAAGACCAUAUUGAAAUAGUCUGAAAAGAGGCAACUCUUGUUCAGAAGUGGUAGUCAAAAUGGGAAUAUAGAGUUGUCUCCAUAGAUAGAAGCAAUCUAUGUAAGAUUAGAAAAAAAAACUUAGUGCAAGAAGCAUGUUCAAAGCAAUGCAUACUUUGAACAUAAGGCUUUGUGUCCAUGGAGUAGUUCUUCAUCGGAAUACCCUGUAAUGGUUAUUGACAAGUCUUUGUGACUUUGUACACAUUCAUUGCAAGAGGGUAGUGCAUUCAAGUUUAAAAUCUAACAGAUUUUGAUUUGGGAGUGUGAAAUUAGAAUCAUUGAAAGUUUGCUCAAUUGGUUUAUUUCAUAAAAGUAAGGAUCAUAAACAAACAUGGAGUGCAUACUUGGUGUAUGGAAAAACUAUUGUUUAGAAAAACAUAGUGUACAUGCUUGGAGCAUGGGAUAACUAGUGUUUUAAUUCAAGUAUAAAGUUGAUAAAACCAAAACAAUGAAUAAUGAGUAAUCAAUAUGGUGAUAAAUAGAAAGUCUUUUAUUUAUAUUCAUAGGUUUUCAUACCAUAUUAGAUUCAUUUAUUCUUGUGUUACACUUUGCAUGUUUUGACUUCCAUAAUAACUAGGUUAUUCUUCCACAAUGACUAAGUUAUUCAAACCAUCCACAGUCAGUCAUAUGUUGGAAGUAGAUAUGAAUCAAGACUGUCAUGGGUUGGCUUGUAGAGGUCCAAGUUGGUGGACAAAGUUGUGCUACAACACUAAUGAGUGCUCAUAAGUUCUGAGUAUUGGAUUCAACCCGCGCUCAUUUGAAUCACUUCAUGGAUUUUAUCACGAGUGAUCAUGAGACGAUAAUAUCUUAUAUUCUUCAAACCUAGAGAUAUGAGUUGUUACUAUGAGUUGAUAGUACAUUGAUUGCACGAAAACGCAUUGGUAACUCGAUGUUAUAAAACGUGCCUUUGUGUAUGAUUCAACAAGUAGUAGAACAAGACAUAUGAGUCGAAGUUUAUCCAUUCCUUUUGCCUUCGGGAUAAAAGUGAUAUAUGUGGGCCCCUCGAUGAUUUAAUGAUGACACAUGUGAGUGCUUGGCCAAUCCAAGACUGAUUUGAUUUGUUCAAUCAGUCAGUAUUCAUGAAUUGGAAAUCAGGAAACAACAAAUGGACUGAGAGAAUGAUUAUAAUCCAUGUCUUAGUCCAUAUGAUAUCUAGAAUGGAGGAAUAUAUGAUCCCUUAUCUAAUGGACAAGUCAUUGACAAAGGUCAGAGUUCGACAGCGGCUUUAAGAGCUACGAUUGCUAGUUAGGUUUUGAAGACAUACUUAAUAAUAGUUUUAGACUUAUCCAAGUAGGAGACUUUUGGAUUAAUGUCUAAGUUAAUAACUAUAUUUGGUAUGUACUUGACCCGACCCUGCAUGGUCCAUUUGGGUUGCACUUCACCGGCACAAUUUAUAUGGAUAGUCUUUUGAAAAUAGUAUAUUUAUGAUUUAUAUUAAUAUAUUAUAAGUUCUAAUAUAUUAAUAUAUAAUCAUAUUAUUUAAUUAGUAUUGAUCAAGAAUUAAUUUAUAAUUAAUUAAGUGAUCAAAAUGAACUAAUUAAAUAUGGACUCUUAUAUAUAUGGAAUGGGCCAAGUUCAUUUUGGUUGGGCUAAGCUUUCAUGGAUAGUCCAUGGAGUGUUUAACCCAUGGAUCAUAUGAAAUGAAAGGUCAUGGGUUUAACCCUAGUCUCCAUACUAUAUAAAGAUGUCAUUGGUUGGUGAAAUUGGCACUAGUGUGGGUACACAAAAAGGGCUAGCCGAUUUCACUAGAGAGAACCAAAGUAUUCUUAUUCUCAAAGUCUUCCAAGGUGUUUUGGUGAUUUGUGAUUCCACUUGAGGCUUCCACACUAUUAGGGAUAAGCUCUUAAAGCUUGAAGACAUCAAGCUACACCAAAAAGGUAUGUCAUCUAACUAGUCUUUGUAGUAUAGUUGCCUCAUAGUAUGCUAGUUAGGAUUAAAGCCUUGGAAAGUUCUUAUUUGCAUGUAUGAUAAAGAAAACAUAGAUCCAAGGUUUAUAUGGUUGCAUGUACACCAUAGGAGUGUUAAAAUGCUCAAAGCCCAACACAAAUGUUGUGACUGGUAUGUUUCUAUCCAUUUUUAUGUUGAUUAUGUUUUAUGUUAUGUUUAUCUAUGUGCCUUUGUUAGUUAAGUUCCUAGUGAAAUCUUUGCUUGCUCUAGUGUUGUUUGACUCGGGUGCGAGUUGGUCUUUUGUGUCUUGAUCGUUUAGUAGAGAUUUUUAUAUGCCCAUAGGGAAGUUAGAGUGUCCGUCGUGAUUUUCUAUCGCCAACGAACAUAGGGUUUCUCCAUCAUCAAUAUAUCAGAGUUGUAUUUAUGAGAUCUGCGGGGCGCCUUAUCCGAACGAUUGGAUCCUUAUCCCCAUGGGGGAUGUUUUCCUGAUUGUGGAUGUGGAUUGGCUGAGUCGUUUCGGUGCUAUGGUUGAUUAUGAGGGCCAGCACAUGGUAGUUCGGACCCCAAGUAGGGGAGAACUGGUUAUCUAUAGAGAGGGAACCAGGAUAGGUUCAGGGUGUUGUACUGCCAGAGCUCGGUAGUAUAUUCAGCAUGGGUGUGUGGGUUAUUUGGAUUAUAUGGUAGAUACACAUGUUGGGGAUCAGGUUGCCUUUUCAGAGGAUCUGGUUGUCAGGGAGUUUACCGAUGUGUUUCUCGAGGAGUUACCUGGUGUGCCUCCUGAGAGGCAGGUCGAGUUCAGAAUUGAUCUUGUGCCAGGUGCGGCCCUGAUUGCUAGGCACUAUACCGCUUGGCACCGCCUAAGAUGUAGGAUUUUUCAUCUCAGCUGCAGGAGCUGCUAGGCAAGCAGUUCAUCUGACCGAGUAGUUCUCCGUGGGGAGCAUCGAUUUUGUUCGUCAAGAAGAAGAACGGUUCACAUCGGAUGUGCAUUGAUUAUCGGGAGUUGAACAAGUUAACGGUGAAGAACCGUUAUCCCUUCCACGUAUUGAUGACCUCUUUGAUCAGUUGUUGGGUACAUCUUGUUUCUCCAAGAUAGUUUUGAGGUCCAAGUAUCAUCAGGUCAGGGUGAGAGAGGAGGACGUGGAGAAGACUGUGUUCUGGACUCGUUGUGAGCAUUACGAGUUCGUGGGUAUGCCAUUUGGGCUCACCAAUAUGCCUACAGUAUUUAUGGAUUUGAUGGAUCGAGUAUGCAGACUAAUGCUCGAUCGUUUGGUUAGUGUGUUCAUUGAUGAUAUCUUGGUAUAUUCCAAGACCAGAGAGCAACAUUAGGAGCAUCUUCAUGAGCUUCUGGGGGUUUUAAGGUGAGAACGACUUUAUGCUAAGUUCUCAAAGUGCGAGUUUUGGUUACGAUUGGUCGUUCUACCCAGGAUUGAGGCUAUGAUGCAGUGGGAGGUUCCGAAAUCUCCCUCGGAUAUCAGGUGUUUCUUGGGUUUGGUAGGGUACUAUCGGAGAUUCAUUCAUGAUUUCUCCAAGAUUGUAGUACCCCUCACUCAUCUAACAAGGAAGGGGGUGGAUUUCUGAUGGGGCCCUGAGCAGCAGUCAUCAUUUGAGACCCUUCGACAAAGAUUAUAUGAGGCUCCAGUUUUGACCCUCCCAAAAGGAAUUGAUGAUUUUUUGGUAUUUUGUGAUGCAUCUAUCACUAUUUAGUGGGUGGUCCUCAUGUAGAGAGGAUGGGUAAUAGCUUAUGCUUUGCGGUAGCUGAAGCCGCACGAGACGCGAUAUACCACACAUGAUCUGGAGCUGGGGGCAGUGGUUUUUUCCCUCAAGAUUUGGAGGCAUUAUCUUAAUGGGGUUCGUUGUAUAAUAUGCAUAGAUCUCAAGAGUGUUAGGCAUAUUAUGGAUCAGCCAUACCUGAACAUGAGGCAGCGCAGGUGGCUGGACGUAAUCAAGGACUAUGAAUGCGAUAUCCUUUACCAUCUAGGUAAAGCGAAUGUGUUGACGGAUGCUUUGAGCCGCAAGUCGGAUGGGUCUUCAUAUGGGGUAUCGUGUAUGAGGAUGUCAGUAGAUUCCCUGAUUUUGGGAUUCAUUAGGCAAGCUCAGCCCGAGGUUGUUCGGUAAGAGAAUUGGAAGAAAGAUAGGAUCAGGGGUGAUAUUGAUAGAUUUGUUCCGGAUGGUCAUGGUUGUUGACCCGAUGUGGUCGAGUUUGGGUUUCAAUGUCUGGUGGGUUCAGACAGACUGUAUUGGAGAAGACUCAUAAGUCUUGUUUUUGUAUCCAUCUGGGGGCCACCAAGAUGUAUCGGGAUCUGAGGUUAAGCUAUAGGUGGUCGUGUAUGAAGAGGUAGAUCGCCAGUUAUGUGGAGAGGUGCAUUACCUGCAGGAUGGUCAAGGUUGUGCAUCAUAGACCACAUGGAAAGCUGCAGCCUUUGGAGGUUCCCACGUGGAAAUGGGAGCAAAUUUCGAUGGAUUUCAUCACCCAGUUGUCGAAGACGGCAAAUGGUUUUGAUACUAUUUGGGUCAUCGUGGAUCGAUUGACCAAGAGUGCCCAUUUACUGGCGGUUCGGGAGAGUUCUUCGGUCGAGAAGUUGUCUGAUGUAUAUGUUUAUGAGAUUGUUACUCACCAUGGAGUUCUGGUCUCUAUUUUCAGACCGUGAUGUUUGGUUCACCUCCCGUUUUUGGUAGAAGUUCCAUGAGGAACUGGGCAUGAGGUUGCACUUCAGCAUAACUUAUCAUCCGCAGACUGAUAGCUAGAUUGAGCAAACAAUACAGACCCUUGAGGAUAUGUUGCAGGCUUGUGUCAUCGAUUUUGGUGGGAGCUAGGACUCCUACCUACCUAUUGAGGAGUUCUCUUGUAACAACAAUUGUCACUCCAACAUUGCUGCUCCGCAUUUGCAGCUCUUGUACGUGUGGAGAUGUCGUACCCCGGUUUGCUGGGGCGAGGUUGGGCAUAGGGUUAUGGGGCAUACCUAAAUGCUCCUUUAGACCAUGAAGAUGAUUUAGUAGAUCAAACAGAGAUUACAGACUGCUCAGAGUCGGCAGAAGAGCUCUGUCGAACAGCACUGAUCCAAGUUGGAAUUUCAGGUCGGCGUCAUGGUGUUACUGAAGGUCUCUCCUUGGAAAGUUAUUAUUUGCUUCAAGAAGACGGGAAAUUAGAUCCCCAGUAUAUUGGACCGUUUCGAGUGAUCUACAGGGUUGGCAGGGUUGCUUACAGAUUAGAUCUUCCUGAGGAUCUCAGUUAGAUUCACAACACUUUCCAUGUUUCACAGUUAUGGAAGUGCAUGUUGGAUGAGAAUACGAUGGUUUCCUUGCAUGAUAUACAAGUUGAUGAGUGCCUAAAAUAUGUUGAUUGGUCGGUGGCUUUCCUGGAAAAAAUGUAAAGGUUUCGCAUAGCAAGGAAGUACCAUUGGUAAAGGUAAGGUGGUGGCACCAUAGGGGAUUCGAGUGGACCUGGGAGCCAGAGGCUGAGAUGUGGGAGCAUUAUCCGAGUUUGUUCGCGACAGCAGACUUCGAGGACAAAGUCUAGCUCAAGUGGGGGAAAGUUGUAACACCAAGGUUUUCAGGUAUUUUCAAAUUCAUCCGUAUGUUUUGAUUCAUGACAUUUUGGUCCUUGUAUUUGAAAGAAGUAGUCAUGAGAAUCCUAAGUGGCAAGACUGUAAUUUUUGGGAAGAAGGAGUAGGCUAAGCGUACAUGUGGGUACGCUGAGCAUACUAGUGCACGCCCUAGCACCUUGUGUGUACACAUAUGUACACUGGGCGUACCCAUGUCCAAAACAAACCCUAAGUUUUAUUGUUUGAGGGGUAUUUAAACAUCCUUAUGGCUAAUUUAUCCCCACCUUUUUAGCCUCCAAAGCCUUAGAGUCGUCCAUGAAAAACCAUAUUCCCUCAAGUGUGUGUUUGAGCUAAAAAGUGUGUUUUGGUGUGCUUAAGGAAGAAGGAGUUGCAUCAAGGAACAUCAAAGUGGAAACAAGCUUGUGUAUCUUGGAUAUUACCUUCUUGAGGAGCUCCAGAAGGUAAAAAGUCUUCACCUUGAUGAUUUGAUUGUUUGGAUCUCAUUUUGGUAACCUUAUGUUGUUCACCUUGUCUCAAAAGUCCCAUUUUUAUGCAUUUUUGGUCUUAGACUUUUUGAGUUGUCCUUCCAGACCCUAUGAAGGGUCCUAAGCCAUAAAAAUGAGGUUACUUUAGUUAGUUUGGCUCCAUGCAUCUUGUAAAAGGUCUUAAUGGAUUAAGACCUUGUGUUAAGGACUUUAUGGACGUGUAAAGUCAUAAAGUUGGAAAUUUUAUGACCCUAGCAUGCCACUGGACCUUCAAUAUGAUGUAUCAGUUUAAGUGCUAAAGCCAUUAAGCACUUAAAGAAGAAUUUGAGGUUGCGAGAGUACACCCCGCGUAGCAUGGUGUAAGCCCCGCAUACUCGGUCAGCCACCCCAAUGGCGGUCUUUUGUGCAACUUCAUGUACACUGAGUGUUCCUUCAGAUUACGCCCCAUGUACUCGUAUGGGUCAGCCACCCCGACGGUGGUCUUCUGCGCAGCUUCGUGUACGUUGAACGUACCUCCGGAGUAUGCCCCGCGUACUCGCAUGGGUGAGCCUAUGUUGAGUUAACUCGGCUAGGUUGACUUAGCUGGGUUGACUCAAUGGGUUUAUUGAUUUUGACCAAUUGACUUUGAGUUUGACCAAGUUUGACUUUGAGGGUAUUUUGGGUAUUUUGGGAUUAUGAUAGAACUGGUCACUUGGUGGAUGUAGGCAUUGAGUAGAGAGUUGAGAUUGGGAGUCGGGCCUUAUCAGUUCUAUUCAGGCUGAAGGCACUUUAGGGUUUAAAGUACUCCAUGGAUUAUGGCAAUGGGCCCCCUAGAUGAAGUGUAGGUUAAAAGCCCGAGACUUGUCUUAUUACCUAUAUAUUGUCAUGUAUUAUUCAUAAUUAAGGUUAAAAGUGAGGCAAAAUGUAGCCGCCAAACAUAAUGAGGUUUCUUAUGUACAGUUAGAUUCUUUAGUCUAUUCUAAAAGUGUAAUUUAUUCCUCAUGUUCAUGAGUAAAUCCAUUGAUUAUUCGACAUAUCUUCAUUAUUGUGUUUGUUCUUAUUUUCCGCAUUUUGUUUAUCAAACCGUAAUUAGGGUUUUAUCUCAACAAGUGGUAUCAGAGCGGGUUUUUGAAGAUAUGUUGAUUUUUGAAAUAUCAGUUCUUGAUUUGAUGAUUUUAUGCACAAGUUAUUGAAGAUUUUUGGUGUUUUGGCGGUUUGGAAUCAAGGUUGUUGUUCGUUCUGCUGUUCAUGAAGAUUUAUGAUAUUUUUCUACUAUUCAUCGUGGUAAUUUCAAUCCAAUUCUCAUUUAAUUCGUUAUCUUCUUGCUGUCCGUGGAUCGUUUUCUUAUUCUCUCAUAUUCUUACUUUGGAUCCAGUUCUUCUUUAUUCACGUUCAUCAUCGAUAAUGUCAUCUUUAAAUCAGAGAUUCUUAUUCUUGCUUUCAAUCAAUUGGUUUAUGCUUGAAAAUAGAUUAUAUGUUGAGAUUCAAUUGUUUCCUUCAAUCUUUGAUUUGGUUUAUGUUUGAUGAUGGGAUCUGGCUUAUUCGAAAUCCUUAUCACAUCGCUUUUUUUUUUUUCUUUUUCGAGUCCUCAGAUUCAUCCUUUAUUCAAUUGAUUUUGAGGUUACUUUAAUAACAGUUAGAAAUUAAUGAUUAUUUCGAUAUUUUUACUAUGAGGGUGAUGAUUCUGGUCUGGAGUUCGUAAUUGUUAUUUGAAGGACUGAUGAAGAAUAUGGCGAUUGUUGAUUUGAAAAUUAAUCUGUGUUUUUUGUGGUUCAUUGUUUGUCAUAUUCCGUACUGGUGAUGGGUUUCGCAAUUAGAAUUGGAACUCAAUGGAAUGAUUUGAGCAUAUGUUCGCUUUUACUGAUCAAUUAAAAAGUCAAAAUUGGAAUUGUGGACUUUUUGGUACGAAUGUUUCUCCUGCGAAUGUAAUCGGAAGUUGAUUCGGAAUGAAUGGACUCGGAAUCGGAGUUCUUUGUUGGCUUGGAUUCGCAACUCACAAACGAACUGUGAGAUUAGAACAAAUGAAAUCGGGAUUGGAACUUAACUGGAAGGAUGUUCGCCAUUUGCUGGUAAAACCUAAAAGUCAAAAUUAAAAUAUUGCGAACAGUCUCACCUGCGAACGAUCUCUGAAUCAGAGCUUGAUAAUCUAGGAUCGGACUCGUUUUUCCCAUGAACGUUCGGAACCGAUUGUUCGGAGUUUGAUAUCUUUGGAUUUGGGGUUGACAGUGAUUCACAUAGGGAUUGAAAUCGUUUGAUUGAGAAUGAACCAACUUGCAAUCGAAACUACAAAUGGGCUCGGAUUCGGAAUUGAGAACCAGUGCUCGGAACGAUGCGGUUGAUCGGGAUCAAAAUUUUGGUUUAAAUCGGAAAUAAUUUUCGUUUAUGAGCUUUCGGAGAUCAAGUCCUCUAGCUACGAGUUGUUCCAGAUGGUGUUUGGGAUAACUUUUAAAUUGACUUUUAACUUUUAUCUUUUUCUAAAAGUCAAAAAGAUGUUUAGUAAUCCUCACUUUUCCAACUUUUCCAAAAGAGUAAAUGACAUCUUUUUGAAAAGUCAUCGAAUCCUGACUUUUCCAUCUUUUACAAUAAAGACUUUUUGGCUUUCAAAAGCUAAACCAAACACCCUCCCAGUCGUGUUCUUUUACCAUGGGUAAAUGGGGAAGAAGAUGUUAAAGUUUCACUUUUGGUCCCUAUAAUUUUCACAAUUUGGCAGUUUUGAUCCAAAUUCCAAAUUUGUCACAAAUCAAAGGGAUAAUGAUGCUAAAUUACUAUUUAGUCCCCUGACUUUUAGCAAGUGAUAGUUUUUGCCCAAUUUUCGAAAAUGUUCACAAAAUUAAGUACUGGUGAACAAUUUUCGAUUAUUAAUGCACAUAUUUUUUCGUGAACAGAAAAUUAUGCAUUCCAACAAGUCUUGGCGAUUCGGAAAGUCAUUUUUCACGAUAACGUCAAAUUUUUUCUACUUUUUUGGAUUUUAAAAUUCAUUGCAUAUAUCAUUUGGGGGGGGGGGCAUAGUAUUUGUUUUUCCAUUCAAGAUCAUUCUCAUGACCAUUUGAAGGUUUUAUAAUCACGUUUUUUAUUAUAAGUAGAGGGAGAAUUUGAUAUGGCCAUUCGAAAUUGGAUUUGUGACUUUUAAAAUUUGAAGAUUUUUGAUGAAGCUUGUGGUAGUAAUAUGAAGGUAACUUUUACAGUAGAAGUUCUUAAUCGAGCUCUUCUAAUGCUUUUACAGAGUAGUAGCCUUUACAGUAGAAGUUCUUCAUCGAGCUCUUCUAAGGCCUUGAUAUAUUUCCAACUUCUAGUAUUUUCUCGAUCAAGUGGCAUUACGAAUCUUAAAUUUGGUUUGUUACAUGACAUUUUUUGUGGCUUAUAUCAUUAGCUUAUUUUAUGAUCAUUGUGACUUGGAGGGGAGUUCUUCAAAGACAAGAACUGAAUUUGUUUCUUAAUUUUGAAAUGGGUUUUUAUGGCGGGUUUGGCUUUCUUGAAGAUCUUUGGGAUUACAUUAGAAUAUAAAGUUUUAAAAACAUUACUUCAGUGCUUGGUUUAUAUAUAUUNCGUUUUUCAAUACUAUUGAAGAAUCAAGAUUCGUGGAUCGCUUUUGAUAUUCCUCGUUGCGAGAUCUUUUCUUAUUUUCUAGACAUUUGUUUUGGAAGUUGAAGUCUUGUCAUCCAUUACAUACUUUGAGGGGGAGAAUGUAGGGUUCAAAGUACUCCAUGGAUUAUGGCAAUGGGCCCCCUUGGUGAAGUGUAGGUUAAAAGCCCAACAAUUGUCUUAUUCCCUAUAUAUUAUCAUGUAUGACUCAUAAUUAGGGUUAAGAGUGAGGCAAACUGUAUCCGCCAAACAUAAGGAGGUUUCUUAUGUAGAGUUAAAUUAUUUGGUCUAUUCUGAAAGUGUAAUUUAUUCCUCAUGUUCAUGAGUAAAUCGAUUAAUUAUUCGACAUAUCUUCAUCAUAAGAUCGUAAUUAGGGUUUUAUCCCAACAGUUCAUCAUUCAACAACCAACAUCAUAAGCAAACUAGGAUAUAGCUUUAUGGUUAUUAUUGACCAAAUCGUUACCAAGGGUAAAAUCGUCCAUAAUUCAUCUACAUCUCCUUCCGAACCUAAAUUUGUGUGAGUCCAAAAUAUAACAAUCUCAAGCAGUAACUUGUUCCCAAUAAUAAACAUUACAAGUACUCCAAUAAACAUUAACCACGAAACAUGAAAUUGAAAUGCUUUUAUUGAUGUAAUAGAAUUGACCUCAUACAUGAUAUUGAUUCAUUUCCAAUUUUCGUCUAUUUAGAUUAUAUUUCUUAUAAGGAACACAAAAUCAUCCAAAUAUGAUCAUUUAAUGGAAUGGAAUGACUUAUUCCAUUUUGUAUUCAUGCAUAUGCUUUUAUAUAUAACUAUAAAUCACAAAAUUGAAAUGUUUUAUAUUGAAAUAACUAUGCAUUUGAUAGAUGUAUGGUAAAUUUUUGUGUUUUAUCCACAAUUAAAAUCUUCAACUCAAUUAUAAUUCAAUUUGUUGUAAUUUGAGUCAUGAUAAUGUGAAAAAAAAACAUCUAUGAGUCUGAUUUUGAAGGUUUAUGUGAAACUAAUAGUAAAAAAACAAUGCAUCAGUACUUUUUUUAGUUAUUAUUAUUUUUUAACAGAGCUUCAACGUAUUGAAAUUUUCUUGAGAUUAAUCUUUGAAGUCAACCAUAAUUCUUGGAGGAAUGAUUUAGUUAUCAACUCUCUUUGUUACUUUAUGGUUCAUAAUCUCAAAAUGAUGAAGGAUUUAAAAGAUUAAAUAAAUUUUAUUGUCCUAAUCUCUAGUACUAGUUAUGAUAUAAACAUGUGCGAUUCCUCAUUUAAUUUAUGUUUAAUCAGAAAAUUGUCUCUACGUUCCUAAUUUAAUCAUAUUAGUUGAUCUUAAGAAGCUUACACUGAUCUGAUAUGAUGGUUAGCAGUUAGUUUGUUGGUUCUCUCCUUAACUAAGUUCUCUUNNNNNNNNNNNNNNNNNNNNNNNNNNNNNNNNNNNNNNNNNNNNNNNNNNNNNNNNNNNNNNNNNNNNNNNNNNNNNNNNNNNNNNNNNNNNAUAUAUAUAUAUAUAUAUAUAUAAGUGAUUGUUAUGUACCUAAGUUUAGGUAUAAAACAUUUGAAACGACUUAGUUUUAAACAAAACAAAACAAAUCCAAUUUCAUUUUCUCUUAAUUUUGUUUUAAUAUAAUACCAUUAAAUUGAGUUAAAUUAUAGAAUGAAAAAGAUCAAAUAUAUAUCUUUUUUUUGCAAAAAAUUCAUUGAAGUUUCUAGGGAAAGUAAAAAACCAAUAUUUUUAAUGAAUAUAACUCAAACAUAUUGUCCUUCAAUUAAAAACAAGACAACACUACAAAAAUGGUCCAUGUGGUAUGCAUUUUCUGGGGGUUCUAGUCCAAACCACGACUUUUUUUUGGCUUCGUGGUUUUUUUGGACUAGUUUGUAUGUGAAAAUAGUCCCUCUGAAAAUUGAAAUGACUAUAAUACCCUUGGGGUAUUUAUUUUUAUUUUUCUUUUAUUUUUUUAAUGGUUUAAUAUUUAUUUAUUUAUUUUAACAAUUAAAAAUAAUAGAGGACCACCUCUCUCUCAAUUUUUAAUCUUCCCAACUAUGGAUUUGGCAUCAAAAUCCUGUUCACACAACCCUGGAGAACCUCCAGGUCAAUCGCAACCUAGAGUUGAGCUACCCAAACCCACCGUCGUUUUGUGCUUGUUCACUUAAACAACCUUGGGGAAAUGUACAAGGAGAAUGGUUGUAACAUCCGGAAUUCCAGGUAUCAUAUUUUAAUUAUUUAUUUUUUUCAAAAGGGGGGUCUCGACGAGUUGACGCCUGGACUCGUCGAGUAGGAUCGCGAUUUGCUGACUGGAUUUAAUGAAGGGACUCGACGAGUCGGGGAGUCAGCUCAACGAGUCCGCGUUAAGGGUAGAAACCCUAAAUCCUCAGGCAUGUGCCCUAUUUAAGGGAUCUUAAGGCCCUCAUUUGCGGCCACCUUCACCCUUAAGAGCACCAGAGAACCAGAGAGCGUACAGAGAGAGAGAGAGAGGAAGCCAUUUUCAUCAUCUCUAGUGUGAUUUUGCAAGGAAGAAGGAAGGAGGGCAAGCUGAACGGCUUUAGGAGCUCAGAUCCGCUACCAUUUUGUCAGAGGAGGCUACUAGAGGUAUGGAUCUAUGCUUAAUCUCAUGUUUAUGGUGAUCUACUUGAAUAUGGGGUUUUCUUUCCCCUUCUUUAGCUUGGAUUCGAAGCUUUUGAGGUCCCAAGGUGGAAUAACUCUUAGAUCUGGACCUUAAGAGGUCCAGAGAGUCCCAUCAAUCCUGCUUUAUGCUAUUCCUUUGGAGAUAUGAACCUAGGGUGCCAUUUCAGAAGCUAUUUCACCAAAAGAUGCAUUAUGGACGUUGCAUGAGUGCCCACAUUGGACCUUUACGUGAUUAUUGAGCAUUGGGAAGUCAGAUCUAUAGGUUAGAGAAACUGAUUUGACCUCAGAAGGUCAUUUGAGCAUGGAUAUGGUAGAAACUCGCCGAGUCCAUAAGAGAACUCGACGAGUCGAGUCGGGGUUGCCCCGCGAUUCAUGACCAGUGUGUCACACCCCCAAACCAAAACGGCAGAAUCGUUCGAGGGCGGAUGACUUCAUGUAGUAUCGAACAGUUGAAUACAUAGUAAAGAAAGUAAACACAACCAACAUAUAUAUAAUUGAAAAAGUUACAUCGUUUGUAGGUAUUACAAGUUCCAAAAUAUCAAUUACAAUAUGUUGUCAAAAUGAAAUUAAACUAACGCCGCAGCGUCCCUUCUUCAAAAGUAGUAGUUUACAUGUAUUACUGAAUCCCUGAGAAAUACAAGUAGUUUUGAAAGAGUAGGUCAGCAUUUAAGCUGGUGAGUUCAUAAGUAUUUAGUGACAAUGUUUGAAUAAAAUCAAAUGAUAUUUGUUUUCAGAUGUUUCAAAAGACUCCUAGGAAUCCAAUAUUUCCCUAUAGUAUAAAAGUAGUCUUGUACAAAGACUCGACUGUUUUGAAGGUUUCUUUUAUAAAUCCAAUAUCCGUUCAUAAGUGUGUGGUAGUUUAAAAGUUCCAACACUGAAAUGCAAUCGUGUUUUUCAUGCCUAGAGUAGUAGAUUUGUGUAAGUAUAAAAGCACUAAGGCAUUUGAUAACCCGGUAAAUCAAUAAGUUCUUAAUACUCCAUGUGAGUUUUAUAACCAUACAAAUGACCCAGACUGCCUGUAACAACGUUCUUCAGGCGUUGAAAUGUUGUGACAUUUGUCACCCCAGGCCUGCGGGCCUAGCUGUAGCUAACAGCUUAGGUGCGGGAUUGUCAAUCCCGUAUAGAUCUAUACACAAGUAUCACGCUCCCCCUACAAGGGAUUAUGGUAUAUAAUACAGGACUUAAAAUGCAUACUCGAAGGUACGUGAAAUGUCUCACAAAACUUAGUAUAAAACAGAUUUACAUAUGAAAAUGUCCAUUUGUUCUUGAAUAUGAAAAUAUCUCUUUGAUAUAGUAUUUCUAGUAUGUAAAUGUUCAUGAUUUCCUCGUAAACUAUACCUAUUAUAGUUAUUCAAAGUGUGUGUUUCGUUCGUAUAGUAAAUCCAAGUGUAAUGCUCACUUGUUAUGUAAAGUAUAACAUCUAAAGUGACAUAAUUGAUCACAUAUACUUAAAGUAUAAAUAAAGGGUUUGAUUCGCAUAUAUAUAAAUAUAUAUAAAUAGGUUUUAUUUCCAAAAGACAAGAUGUUGUCGUGAAUAUAUAUUGCAUACAAAAGUUCCCAUGUAGUAGUUAUGAAUCACAUAUGAUUCACUUGAUAGUAAAGAGUAUAUAUUGAAACUUUAUGUUACACACGAUAAUAACCGUGUGUUUACUUGUAUUUCCCCCCCUUAAAAGUGAAUAAAAAGCAGUGAUAAUCAUUUGAAAGUGUAGUUUAUAGGGGUAUGAACUCACUUGAUUGAUUGGGGAAAACGAGAUGAAAAUCAAGCAGAACUUCGGCUAGUGACAGUCGAUUUUCUCAGGAUUCUCGGGAAUCUCGGGAGUGUAGAACCUUCCUUCGGAACUUGAGUGUGAAAACCGGGGCUUCGGGAGGGCUUCGGAUGCUUAACCGCAGAGUUUCAGCACGAGAGAGGGAAGAAUGGAGUACCUAAACCCGGCACCCCAAGAGUUCUAUUUAUAGGGGGUAUUUUUGAGUUCCACGUCGUGGCUAGGGUUGGACACAUCGUAGGGACCAAUUCUAUCCUCUUCCAUUGAUUGGACGCACUCAGUCACUUGCCGGGUCGUGAUAAAACAAUGCCACGUCGUGGGGAAACCUGACAGCCUCAAAUUUUGGACCCCGAACUUGUAAAAUCCAUAACUUUCGCGUACGAGCACCGUUUUCGACAUUCUUUAUAUGCACGCGUAGCUAAAAACAUGAUAUACAACUCUCGUUUAGACUUCAUCGGAAAAUUUUGACUUUAUUUUUAAUUAUUUAUUUUUAACGGGCCGGGACACGAAAAGUCUGUGUAAAAUCCAUAACUUCUUCAUCCGAUGUCCGUUUUCGUCAGACUUUUCGCCGUUGCGCUACUAAUGUUGAGACCUUCGAUUCUCAUUUAGGUUGUUUUGGUCAAAAGUCUCUCGAGCUCUAUUUCGAGUUUUUAGCUGUCUACUGCUAUAUUCGGAUCUUGGAAAAUCAUAACUUCCUCAUACGAAGUCAGAUUUGGACGUUCUUUUUGUGUACGCUCACGGUUUAAUGUUAUCUAUAACUUUCAUUUAGAUACUUAAGGCUAAAUGCUAUUGUAUUGAAACUUCACAUUUUUCGUUUAAUCGGUGUUGCCGGUUUUGUCGGAAAUCUUAGAAUGGUUAUAACUUCUUCGUUAUAACUCGGAUUUUAGUGUUCUCAGUAUUUCUGUAACCCUUGACACAAUAUCUAACAUAAUAGAUAUUCUUAUAAAGACUUUUUAAAUAUUUCAUUUUCGAAGUAAGUUUUAUUAUUUCAAAGGUAGCUACAAUACUUGACCUUUUAGGUCAUUACAUAAGGUCGAAAUAUCGGGUUGUCACAUCAUCCCCCCGUUAGAAGGAAUUUCGUCCUGAAAUUUAAUGUAACAAAACACUUGUGGAUUAGGGAAAAAGAUGUGGGUAUUUGUGUUUCAUUUGAUCUUCGGGUUCCCAGGUGUAUUCAGGUCCUCGCUUUGCAUUCCAGCGGACCUUCACGAUGGGGAUGCGACUUUGUUUUGUUCUCUUUAUUUCCCUAUCCAUGAUUUCAAUUGAUUCUUCUAUAAAGUGGAGACUCUCGUUGAUUUCGAUCUCUUCUAAAGGGACGAUGAAGGUCUCAUCGUACAAACACUUCUUCAAGUUUGACACAUGAAAUGUAGGGUGUACGUUACUGAGUUCCUGCGGCAGACAAAGUUUGUAGGCUAGCGGGCCGAUCCUUGCGAGGAUCUCGAAUGGUCCGAUAUACCUUGGGUUUAGUUUCCCCUGUUUUCCAAAACGUAUUAACCCUUUCCAGGGUGAGACCUUUAAUAGUACUCGGUCCCCGACCUGAAAUACCAAGGGCUUCCGUCUUUUGUCCGCAUAACUCUUUUGUCUGUCUCUUGAAGCCUUUAGUCGUUCCCGAAUUUGUACAAUCUUCUCGGUUGUCUCUCUUAUGAUUUCUGGGCCAGUGAGAGUGAUGUCGGGUACUUGUCCCUUGGCUAGUUGUGUGUCACCUACUUCAGUCCAGCACAAUGGUGAUCUGCACUUCCGGCCGUAGAGGGCUUCAAAUGGAGCAACUUUAAUGUUGGAGUGAUAGCUAUUGUUAUACGAAAAUUCAAUUAGUGGUAAAUGGGUAUCCCAUGCUUUACCAAAAUCAAUUACACAAGCUCUUAGCAUAUCUUCUAGGGUUUGUAUGGUUCUCUCACUUUGACCGUCGGUUUGUGGAUGGUAAGCAGUACUCAUGUCGAGCCUCGUUCCUAGGGAUUUUUGUAACGAUUGCCAGAAUCGCAAGGUGAACCUACUAUCUCUUUCAGAGAUAAUGGAUAUUGGUACACCGUGCAGUCGUACAAUCUCUCGGAUGUAAGUUCGAGUUAGCUUCUCCAUCUUAUCGGUUUCCUUUAUGGGUAGGAAGUGUGCGCAUUUGGUUAACCUAUCGACAAUUACUCAGAUGGUGUCUAAUCCACCUGUUGUCUUGGGUAAUUUGGUUAUGAAAUCCAUGGUUAUCCGUUCCCACUUCCACUCAGGUAUUUCGGGUUGUUGUAGUAAUCCUGAUGGUUUCUGGUAUUCUACCUUGACUUUGGCGCAAGUCAGACACUUGCCCACAUAGGUAGCUAUCUCUGCUUUCAUGUUCGGCCACCAAUACAGUUUCUUGAGGUCCAGNAUGGUUUCUGGUAUUCUACCUUGACUUUGGCGCAAGUCAGACACUUGCCCACAUAGGUAGCUAUCUCUGCUUUCAUGUUCGUCCACCAAUAUAGUUUCUUGAGGUCUAGAUACAUUUUGUACGAACCUAUAUGCAUGGAGUAUCGAGUCUUAUGCACCUCGUUCAUGACCACGUCUCUGAAUCCACCAAACUUCGGUGUCCAGAUUCGAUCCAUGAAGUAACGAACCCCGUCACCCUUGACUUCAAGAUUCUUGUCCAUUCCUCUUAGGGCUUCACCUACCACAUUUUCUGUUUUCAAGGCUUCCCUCUGAGCUUCCUUGAUUUGUGUGGACAGAUGUGAAUGGAUCGUCAUGGUUAAGGAUUUCACUUGGGGACCUGAGUACUCUUUUCGACUAAGAGCAUUAGCUACUACAUUUGCUUUCCCUGGGUGAUAGCGAAUCUCGCAUUCGUAGUCGCUAAGCAGUUCAACCCAUCGUCUCUGCCUCAUGUUGAGGUCUUUUUGGUUGAGAAUGUGCUGGAGGCUUGUAUGAUCGGUGAAGAUCAUGCAUUUUGUGCCAUAAAGAUAGUGUCUCCAGAUCUUUAGCACGAAAACGACUGCUCUUAGUUCGAGAUCGUGUGUAGUGUAGUUGACUUCAUGCGUCUUGAGUUGUCUUGAGGCGUAAGCGAUGACCUUACCUCUUUGCAUUAGAACGCAUCCAAGACCUUGAUUAGAUGCAUCACAGUAGACCACAAAGUCUUUUGUUCCUUCNAACCACGAAGUCUUCUGUUCCUUCUGGAAAGGACAAAAUAGGUGCGCUGCAUAGUGCUUGCUUCAGUGUUUGGAAUGCAGCGUCUUGUCUUUCGUUCCAAUCGAAAGUUACACCCUUCUGGGUCAGGGUGGUAAGUGGUUUCGCAAUCUUCGAGAAGUUCUGUAUGAACCUUCGGUAGUAGCCAGCAAGGCCAAGAAUUGUCGAAUUUCUGUUGGGGUUCUUGGAGCUGACCAGUUCUCGAUUGCUUUGAUUUUGAACGGGUCCACGUGUAUUCCGUCUUUGCUAACCACGUGCCCUACGAAAUCUACCUUCUGAAUCCAAAAUUCGCACUUGGAGAAUUUUGCGUAUAGCUUCUCUUUUCUUAGCGUUUCCAAAAUUUGUCGGAGGUGUUGACCAUGAUCCUCUUUAGUCUUUGAAUAAAUGAGUAUGUCAUCUAUGAAUACGAUCACAAACUUGCCUAAGAAUGGACGACAUACUCGGUUCAUUAAGUCCAUGAACACCGCUGGAGCGUUUGUUAAUCCAAAGGGCAUUACUACAAACUCGUAGUGACCAUAACGAGUUCGAAAAAAGCUGUUUUGGGAACAUCUCCUUCCAAGACUCGUAGUUGGUGGUACCCAGAUCUUAAGUCGAUCUUUGAGAAAUAACUCGCUCCUUGGAGUUGGUCGAACAAGUCGUCAAUGCGUGGUAAGGGAUAUCGGUUCUUGAUAGUGAGCUUGUUGAGUUCCCGGUAAUCGAUGCACAUGCGGAAAGAUCCAUCCUUCUUCUUUACGAACAAGACUGGUGCUCCCCAAGGUGAGAAGCUCGGCCUGAUGAAACCUUUGUUGAGUAGUUCGUUUAGUUGGCUGGAUAGUUCCUGCAUCUCUGUCGGUGCUAGACAGUAUGGUGACUUGGCUACUGGUGUAGCUCCGGGAAUUAAGUCGAUUCUGAACUCGACUUGACGUUCUGGUGGAACUCCGGGAAGAUCUUCAGGGAAGACAUCGGGAAAAUCGUUGACUUCUGGAAUGUCUCUGAGGCCUUUUGUUUCUUUUUCCUUAUCUACCACGUGGGCUAAGAAGGCAUGGUAAUCUUUACGUAGGUAUUUUUGGGCUUUGACGCAAGAGAUGAUCUGUAAAUUGGUACUGGGUUUGUCACCAUAAAUGACAAGGGUUUCGCCGAUUGGCAGAUUUGGGCGAACGGCCCUUUCGUGACAAAGUAUAUCGGCAUGAUGUAGGCUUAACCAAUCCAUACCGAUGAUGAAAUCAAAGCUCUUUAUAGUGAUCGGUAUUAGAUCGAUUUGAAAUGAGUGUUCGUUUAGCGUUAGUGUGCAGUCUAUGUACAUAUUGUUCGUGCUUUCUGUUAUACCGUUUACCAUUUCUACUGUAAAUAUCUUAUUGAGUGUUUUAGGGUUCUGUUUUAGUACGUGCUUGAAUUUAUGACUCACGAAACUCCUCUCCGCACCACAAUCAAAGAGUAUGCAUGCAUAAACGUUAUUAAGGAGAAACAUACUCGUAACCACUGUGGGAUCAGCUAUUGCUUCGUUCUGCCCUAUUGCCAGCACUCGUCCCGUGCCGCCAGCAUUCCUUGCCUUAGGACAGUCCCUCUUGUAGUGUCCAGCCUCACCACAACCAUAACACGUCUGGCCCACACUGACCCCAGGGACUUGGGUGAUUGGUCGUGCCGGUGCCUUACAGAAACGGGCAGUGUGCCCCUUCUGGUUGCAGUUGUUGCAGUGCAUCUCCCGACAAUUUCCAUUGUGGUGGAAAUUGCACUUGCUGCACUUCGGGAAGUUCCCAGCAUAUCGCUUUACUGGGGUGGGGGUAACAGGAGCAGUAGUGGGGGCAGUAGCGGCAUGGACUGCCACAAUCUGUUGUUUCUUGGAAGGUUCUUGUGAAGGUUGACUCUUCCUUUUGUUCCAGAACCUCUUCUUGUUGUUGUUGUUGGUAUUAUCAUUGUUGUUGUUGCUUACUCUGGGUUGCUCUGGUGCGGUGGUUGCGAAGUUUUGGCAGACCCCAUGGUCCAUGAGAGCUUGUGCCAACUGUUUGGCGCUAUCGAAGGUGAUUGGUCUGGAAGCUAGGACACUUCCUCGAAUUUGGGGUGACAGUCCCCAGAAGUGUGCGCAUUUGGUUAACCUAUCGACAAUUACUCAGAUGGUGUCUAAUCCACCUGUUGUCUUGGGUAAUUUGGUUAUGAAAUCCAUGGUUAUCCGUUCCCACUUCCACUCAGGUAUUUCGGGUUGUUGUAGUAAUCCUGAUGGUUUCUGGUAUUCUACCUUGACUUUGGCGCAAGUCAGACACUUGCCCACAUAGGUAGCUAUCUCUGCUUUCAUGUUCGGCCACCAAUACAGUUUCUUGAGGUCCAAAUACAUUUUGUCCGAACCUGGAUGCACGGAGUAUCAAGUCUUAUGCGCCUCGUUCAUGACCACGUCUCUGAAUCCACCAAACUUCGGUGUCCAGAUUCGAUCCAUGAAGUGACGAACUCCGUCCCCCUUGACUUCAAGAUUCUUGUCCAUUCCUCUUAGGGCUUCCCCUGCCACAUUCUCUGUUUUCAAGGCUUCCCUCUGAGCUUCCUUGAUUUGUGUGGAUNUACCUGGAUCUGAAAUUGAUCUUUGAGAAAUAACUCGCUCCUUAGAGUUGGUCGAACAAUUCGUCUAUGCAUGGUAGGAGAUAUCAGUUCUUGAUAGUGAGCUUCUUGAGUUCCCAGUAAUCGAUACACAUGCGGAAAGAUCCAUCCUUCUUCUUUACGAACACGACUGGUGCUCCCAAAGUUGAGAAGCUCGGCCUGAUGAAUCCUUUAUUGAGUAGUUUGUUUAAUUGGCUGGAUAAUUCCUGCAUCUCAGUUGGUGCUAGACGAUACUGUGACUUAGCUACUGGGGUAGCUCUGGGAAUUAAAUCGAUCCUAAACUCGACUUGGCAUUCUAGUGGAACUCCUGGAAGAUCUUUAGGGAAGAAAUCGGGAAAAUCGCAGACUUCUAUAAUGUCUUUGAUGUCUUUCGUUUCUUUUUCCUUAUCUUCCACGUGGGCUAAGAAGGGAUGGUACUCCUUACGCAGGUAUUUCUGGGCUUUAACGCAAGAGAUGAUUUGUAAAUUGGUACCGGAUUUGUCACCAUAAAUGACAAGAGUUUCGCCGUUUGGUAGAUUAAGGCGAACGACCCUUUCGUGACAAGGUAUAUCAGCAUGGUGCAGGCUUAACCAAUCCAUACCGAUGAUGACAUCAAAGCUCCAUAUAGUGAUCAGCAUUAGAUCGAUUCGGAAGGAAUGUUCGUUUAGAGUUAGUGUGCAGCCUAUGUAAAUAUCGUUUGUGCUUUCUGUUCUACCGUUUGCCAUUUCUACUGUAAAUAUCUUAUUGAGUGAUUGAGGGUUCUGUUUUAGUAAGUGUUUGAAUUUAUGACUCACGAAACUCCUCUCCGCACUACAAUCAAAGAGUAUGCAUGCAUAAGUGUUAUUGAGGAGAAACGUACCCGUAAUCAUCGUGGGAUCAGCUAUUGCUUCGUUCUGCCCUAGUGCCAGCAAUCUUUCUAUGCCUCCAACAUUCCUUGCCUUAGGGAAAUGUCUCUUGUAGUGUCCAGUCUCACCACAACCAUAACACGCCUGGCCCACACCGACUCCAUGAACUUGGGUGAUUGGUCGUGCCGGUGCCUUACAGAAACGGGCAGUGUGCCCUUUCCUGUUGUUGUUGUUGCAGUGCAUCUCCCGAUAAUUUCCGUUGUGAUGGAAAUCGCAUUUUUUGCACUUUGGUAGGUUCCCAGCAUAUUGCUUCGCUGGUGUAGGGGUAACAGGGACAUCAGUGGGGCAGUAGCGGCAUGGACUGCCACUAUCUGUUGUUUAUUGGAAGGCUCUUGUGGAAAUUGACCCUUUAUCUUGUUCCAAAACUUGUUGUUGUUGUUGUUGUUGUUGUUGUUGUUGUUGUUCCCUAUGGGUUUCUCCAGAACGACAGUCGCGAAGCCUUGGUAGAUUUCAUGGUCAAUGAGAGAUUGUGCCAACUGUUUGGAACUAUAGAAAGUGACUGCUUUGGAAGCUAGUACACUUCCUUAAAUCUGGGGCGACAGUCCCUAGAUAUAACUCUCGAUCUUCUUGCUCUCUAGAGCAACCAUCCCCAAGCAAAGGAUUGCCAAAUCACUAAACCUAUUGGUAUAGGUUGUGAUGUCCGAGCCUACCAUAGUAAGGCCCCAAAGUUCCUGAUCGAGCUUUUGUACUUCGCCCCUUGGACAGUACUCUUGCAUUAACAUUUGCUUUAGAUUCUCCAAGCCCAUAGAAUUUGCCACUACCAGUGUUACUGACAUGACAUGGCCAUUCCACCACGUCAGAGCUCUCUCGGAGAAUGUCCAGGCAGCAAACAUUACCUUGCUCCUUUCCAGACAUGAACAGGUCUCGAAAAUCGCUUCUGUUUUCUCUAUCCACUUCGAUAGAGCCAUUAUCCCUCCGGAUGUAUUAAAAGGUAUGGGCUUGCUAUUGGUGAAGUCCUUGUAGGUGCAAUCCCCUGAACGACCCUCAUGUUGGCCAUUCGUAGAGCUAUUUAUCCCCCUCCGGACCCAUUAUUACUCAUUUGUGGCCAUUGCUAUUAUUACUGCAGCUGUUACAGCAGCUAUUAAGAUGGCAUUAUCCAUUGAUGGAGGUGCUGGUGGUGGAGGUGUUGCUUUGUUGACACGGCGUGUAGAUCUAUGGGGCGGCAUCGUGCUGCUAAUGAAAUAAAAUGAAGAGCAUAAGUCUUUAAUGAUUGGGAGCCACAUGUCAACUAGCUAUUUUCCUCAAUUCAUGAAUUUGAUUGACCUACCCAAAGUUUUGAACUUGAUUCAUAAUAAAAGUGUGCAGAAUAAUAGAUAUUUUUAUGAAUCUGAGUGGUAUUCAAAGAAUUAAUACACAAAGGACUUUCUUCAUAUAUAUUAAACAUAUGCUGAGUUACAUUGUGAAGUUAGGAAAAUUUUGACCCUUGUAAGGGUCUCCGAUACAAAAGUUAAAGAAAAGUAAUACUUUUAACCGUGUUCCUAUUCUAUAACAAAAUUUUGGGAUUUGGGCAAGUACUACUUGCGACAUAGGGUGUGCUUGGAGCUCGACUCUGCGUCUGAUUGUUUUGCCUCCAUAAGGCGCCUAUCAAAGGCGGCUUGCUGUUCCCUCAGCUCAGAGAGGGCUGCAAUCAUUUGUGCUUGGAACGCGUCGGCGCGGAGUUGGGUGUCAUCCUGCAACCUAUCCAGCCGGCGGAUGUCAGAAGUAUGCACCUGUACUUCCACAUUGACUUCCCGAAUCCGGCUAGCUUGAACCCCGGAUUGAUAGGACUGGUUGGCUAGCUUGCCCACCAUGACUGGGAGUGCUCGAUCUGCCAAACCUCCGCCGCGGACAUCAUAGAAAUCCCGACACAUGCCGUAGGGAGGACGUAUCCCUUGUUGUUGGCUCCAAUGGUGGAGGUGACUUCCCCAAACGGGAGUCGGUCCCUGAAAGUUUCUCACAAAGACAGGAGGUUGUGCGGGUGGUGGGUUGAUUACCUCUGGUUCUGAGUCUGUCCCAGAGUCAUCCCCUUCAUCCAACUCGAUAGGUUCUUCAUCCUCUUCGGGAUCUUCUUCGACCCAUCCUCCGUUACCUUGGUUGAGAUAGUAGGGGUCUCCGUGUGGAAUGAAUCCAACCAUUUGACUAUACGAGAAUAGGGUUAUAGGAAUUGAACAAAACUUGAAGCAUGUAAAACUAAGCAUGUCGAUUAAACUAUUGCACGUACCAAAUACUCCUAUAGUAUUUAAAUUUGUAUGUUUGAUACUAAUGUUUAUUUUGGUAAGUUUUGACUUGUUGCUCACUACGACCAUUCCUCGACACAUGUUAGUCCAAUCUUGGAUAAAUAUAGUUGAUCAGGCUAUAUUCGUCCCAAAUUCGAUUACAUAUGUCGAGGUCUAAUCGUAGUGUCCAACUUGUCUUAAUACUUCUUGUUGUAUGCAUGUAAUUGUACUUUUACGACCCAAAACAAUCUAAGUUAAAUGAAACAAGGUUUUAGGUGUAAAAAUGUUUUGUCAGAGACUUUGAGUCCCUUUGCAUUUAUAGUUUGUAUAUCUUAUGUGGUUCGAUAUACUUAGUUCACUAUAAACAAUGCUCUGAUACCAAUCUGUCACACCCCCAAACCAGAACGGCGGAAUCGUUCGAGGGCGGAUGACUUCAUGUAGUAUCGAAACAGUUGAAUACAUAGUAAAGAAAGUAAACACAACCAACAUAUAUAUAAUUGAAAAAGUUACAUCAUUUGUAGGUAUUACAUGUUCCAAAAUAUCAAUUACAAUAUGUUGUCAAAAUGAAAUUAAACUAACGCCGCAGCGUCCCUUCUUCAAAAGCAGUAGUUUACCUGUAUUACUGAAUCCCUGAGAAAUACAAGUAGUUUUGAAAGAGUAGGUCAGCAUUUAAGCUGGUGAGUUCAUAAGUAUUUAGUGACAAUGUUUGAAUAAAAUCAAAUGAUAUUUGUUUGCAGAUGUUUCAAAAGACUCCUAGGAAUCCAAUAUUUCCCUAUAGUAUAAAAGUAGUCUUCUACAAAGACUCGACUGUUAUGGAGGCUUAUUUUAUAAAUCCAAUAUCCGCUCAUAAGUGUGUGGUAGUUUAAAAGUUCCAACACUAAAAUGCAAUCGUGUUUUUCAUGCCUAGAGUAGUAGAUUUGUGUAAGUAUAAAAGCACUAAGGCAUUUGAUAACCCGGUAAAUCAAUAAGUUCUUAAUACUCCAUGUGAGUUUUAUAACCAUACAAAUGACCCAGACUGCCUGUAACAACGUUCUUCAGGCGUUGAAAUGUUAUGACAUUUGUCACCCCAGGCCUGCGGGCCUAGCUGUAGCUAACAACUUAGGUGCGGGAUUGUCAAUCCCGUAUAGAUCUAUACACAAGUAUCACGCUCCCCCUACAAGGGAUUAUGGUAUAUAAUACAGGACUUAAAAUGCAUACUCGAAGGUACGUGAAAUGUCUCACAAAACUUAGUAUAAAACAGAUUUACAUAUGAAAAUGUCCAUUUGUUCUUGAAUAUGAAAAUAUCUCUUUGAUAUAGUAUUUCUAGUAUGUAAAUGUUCAUGAUUUCCUCGUAAACUAUACCUAUUAUAGUUACUCAAAGUGUGUGUUUCGUUCGUAUAGUAUAUCCAAGUGUAAUGCUCACUUGUUAUGUAAAGUAUAACAUCUAAAGUGACAUAAUUGAUCACAUAUACUUAAAGUAUAAAUAAAGGGUUUGAUUCGCAUAUAUAUAAAUAUAUAUAAAUAGCUUUUAUUUCCAAAAGACAAGAUGUUGUCGUGAAUAUAUAUUGCAUACAAAAGUUCUCAUGUAGUAGUUAUGAAUCACAUAUGAUUCACUUGAUAGUAAAGAGUAUAUAUUGAAACUUUAUGUUACACACGAUAAUAACCGUGUGUUUACUUGUAUUUCCCCCCCUUAAAAGUGAAUAAAAAGCAGUGAUAAACAUUUGAAAGUGUAGUUUAUAGGGGUAUGAACUCACUUCAUUGAUUGGGGAAAACGAGAUGAAAAUCGAGCAAAACUUCGGCUAGUGACAGCCGAUUUUCUCAGGAUUCUCGGGAAUCUCAGGAAUCUCGGGAGUGUAGAACCUUCCUUCGGAACUUGAGUGUGAAAACCGGAGCUUCUGGAGCUUAACCGCAUAGUUUCAGCACGAGAGAGGGAAGAAUGGAGUACCUAAACCCGGCACCCCAAGAGUUCUAUUUAUAGGGGUAUUUUUGAGUGCCACGUCGUGGCUAGGGUUGGACACGUCGUGGGGAGCAAUUCUAUCCCCUUCCGUUGAUGGGACGCCCUCAGUCACUUGCCGGGUCGCGGCAAAACAGUGCCAAGUCGUGGCAAGCCUGAUAGCCUCGAAUUUUGGACCCCGAACUUGUAAAAUCCAUAACUUUCACGUACGAGCUCCGUUUUCGACGUUCUUUAUAUGAACGCGUAGCUAAAAAUAUGAUCUACCACUCUCGUUUAGACUUCAUCGGCAAAUUUAGAUUUUAUUUUUAAUUAUUUAUUUUUAACGGGCCGGGACACGAAAAGUCCGUGUAAAAUCCAUAACUUCUUCAUCCGAUGUCCGUUUUCGUCAUACUUUUCGCCGUUGCGCUACUAAUGUUGAGACCUUCGAUUCUCAUUUAGGUUGUUUUGGUCAAAAGUCUCUCGAGCUCUAUUUCGAGUUUUUAGCUGUCUACUGCUAUAUUCGGAUCUUGGAAAAAUCAUAACUUCCUCAUACGAAGUCAGAUUUGGACGUUCUUUUUGUGUACGCUCACGGUUUAAUGUUAUCUAUAACUUUCAUUUAGAUACUUAAGGCUAAAUGCUAUCGUAUUUAAACUUCGCAUUUUUCGUUUAAUCGGUGUUGCCGGUUUUGUCGGAAAUCUUAGAAUGGUCAUAACUUCUUCGUUAUAACUCGGAUUUUAGUGUUCUCAGUAUUUCUGUAACCCUUGACACAAUAUCUAACAUAAUAGAUAUUCUUAUAAAGACUUUUUACAUAUUUCAUUUUCAAAGUAAAUUUCAUUAUUUCAAAGGUAGCUACAAUACUUGACCUUUUAGGUCAUUACAUAAGUUCGAAAUAUCGGGUUGUCACACAGUGGUAACCCGUCGAGUGGAAGGUUCACUUGAUGAGUUUAGUGAGGCCUUAGAAGGAUUCAGUGGACACUCUUGGACUCGCCGAGUCACCCAUGUGCACUCAACGAGUCUGGCCAAAGUUUGAUCGAUGACUAUCAUUGACUUCAGUUGACCUUAGGGUUUUGGUCAAGCUGGUUCAAGAGAGGUCAGGACAGGGUAAAAUGGUCUUCUACCCAUCCUUUAGAAGUGAGGGCAUGAGAAAGUAUUGAUUAGAGAUGUUAUUAUGUUAAUAGGAGGAGGCUAGGUCGGGUUAUGGGGCGCGAGAGAUUAUCCGACAUCGUACGAGGUGAGUCUUCUCACUAUACUUUACCUAGAGUGGUAAUUAUGUGUGACCGGAAGGUCUUAUGUGCUACGAAUAGAAUGCGAUGUAUGUUGUUAUAUGAUAUGUAUGUGCUAUGUAUGUUAUGAGCAUUAUGAUAUGGAUCGGAAGGUCAACGGUGUAUGGACCCGAAGGUCAAGAUGAUGAGGACCGGAAGGUCAUACGUGUAGGGUCGGAAGGUCUACCAGGGUUCGGAUGGAAGUCCCCUGAGACACAUGGAUCGGAAGGUCCCAUAGAGUUAUGGCCUUGAGUGGUGUAUGUGUUACAUGUGGUAUUUUGGGGAACUCACUAAGCAUUUAUGUUUACCGUGUUAUGUGAUAUGUGUUUCAGGUACUAGCGAGGAUCGCGGGAAGGCGCCGGCAUGAUCUGUACACACUGAUGAAGAUUUAUGUACUUGAGAUUCUGGGGUUGUUUAUUGAGAUAAUUUGUGAUACAAUGGAUUUUAUUAUGAAUGAAAUUAUGUUUUAAAAAUGAAAUUUUGUUUUGGAAAUUCACGUUGUUACAAGUUGGUAUCAGAGCUUUGGUUUGAGGGAUUCGGAUGCACCUUCGGGUGUAUUUGAACUCAAACUGAGGAUUUGAGAAAACUUUUCAUAAAAGAAACAAUUUUUUUCUAGAAAGUAAAGGAAUUUGAGGAAAGCGGAAAGAAGCAGUGUGUACGAUCAGCCAGCGCUCGAACAGUGAUUUCCCAAAAUACCCUUACAUUAUGUGUUAUGAGAUAUGAUAUGAUAUGUUAUGCAUGCUAGAGUACGUAGGUAUUCAUAUUAGGACUAGAGUGGCCUGAUUUGUGAUGCCUUAACCUAGGAGAUUACUGCUACUAUGAGAUGCUUCGAGAGUGAGUAGGUAGCAGUGAGGAGCUUAUAAGAAGUCUAUCGAAGGGUAGCCUAUGCUUAGCGAGAUGUAGAAUACUUGUGAUCUGGGAUCCUAGGAGGAGGACUUGGAAUGAAUGUUGAUGCGGUGUGAAAGGUAUUAUAGGGCCCGUACUACUAAAAACACCGGACCAGUGCGCAAUCCAAGUAAGAAUCCUUAGGGUACUAGGGAACAAGUAGGGUUGAGUUAUCGAGUGUGAACUCGAGUGAGUCUCUAAUAUUUUAUGUUGUAUUUCAGAGACAUCAUGGUUGGGACACGCCACAGACCAGAGACCAGCGGCAUGAGUGACGAGGAGCUUCAUCAGAUGAUCCACAAUGUGGUGGCUGCGGCUAUCCGCGCAGAGAUACCGUAGAUGUUUGGGUCUAUCAAUACCACCCUGAUUGAGACGUUUGAUGAGAGAUACACAGCGGUUACUGAGGCUGUGGCUGCUGCAGCUACUGCAGCUGUGGCUGCUGCUAGACCUCAGGGGGUGACUUGUUGUUGUUCUGAGAGUUCAGCAACACGAAGCCACCAGAGUUUGUUGGGACGCAGGGUCUGAUUGCUGCGAUGAGAUGGAUUUUGAUAUUGAGGGAUGCUUCUACACCUGUUCGUGUCCGGAGCAUCUAAGGAUUCGGUUUGCGCUGAACCAGCUUCACUUAGGAGCGAAGGACUGGUGGAAGUUUGUGACGGAAAACUUCACUCUUGCAUAGAUCUUAGAGGUGACCUGGGAGAGGUUCACCACCAUGUUUAGAGACGAGUAUGUUCCCUCGGUGGAGAGGGAACGGUUGGCACAGGAGUUCUUGUCCCUCAAGCAGAGGACGGAGUCUGUGACUAUGAUUAGAAGGUAGUUUCACGAGAGGGCGUUGUUGUUCCCUGAGCACGUGUCGUCUGAGCAGCCACGCAUGAGAUGGUAUUUGAGCAUUCUAAGGAGGGACAUUCGGGAGUUCGUGGUGAACUCGACUUACCAAGCAUUUACUGAGCUCCAUGCAAAUUCCUAAAAGAGGGAGAUUAAGCUAGAGACUCAGGCCACGGAAGAGGCCGAGUCUCAGGGGAAGGAUAGGCGGCCGGUACAGUCUCAACUGGCAGCCAAGCGGGCUAAGUCCGUUGAUACGAGAUCUAGAGGCCAGAAGGGUCACACUUGUGGGAAGUGCGACAAGGGACAUGAUGGAGUGUGUCGAGCGGGUGCUUGCUACAAAUGUGGCAAGGAGGGGCAUAUAGCCAAGGACUGCCCCAAGGGAUUUAUGGUUUGCUUUCAUUGCAACCAAAUGGGUCACCGAAAGGCUGAGUGCCCACAACUGUUACAGAGAUCUGUCCCUGCUACUACACGAGCUAUUGAGGGUCGGCCAGUGAAGGUCGAGGCACUGAAGGCUCGCAAGAGAGCCCUCCAGUUGACAGCGUAGGAGGUCUGUGCAGCACCCGAUUUCGUGGCUGGUAUGUAUUAUUUCAUUUAUUUAUGCUGAGUUGAGAUAUUGUGCUUAUAUUAUGAUAUGCGUAGGUACUUUUCUUGUGAGCUCGGUGCCUGCUUUGGUGUUAUUUGACUCGGGUGCGAGUCGAUCAUUUGUUUCGUUAUCGUUUAGUCAACACAUCAGUAUUCGACGAGAGGCGUUGAGUCGACCUCUAUGACUUUUCAUAGCUGACGAGCGAGCGGUGUAUGCUACUAACGUGAUUCGAGGAUGUGUACUCGAGAUCUUUAGUGUUGAGUUCCCGAUACAUCUAGUCCCGAUUGCGAUGGGGGAUGUUUGCGUUAUAGUGGUCAUGGAUUGGUUGAGCCAAUUUUAGGCAAUUAUAGACUGCGAGCGGCAGAUGGUGACGAUACGAGACCCUAGUGGCGAAGGUACCCAAUGUGGGUCAGCAUUUUGUUCGGCUACCAGAGUGAGACAGAAUUUACAAUAGGGCUGCAACGGGUUUGUAGUUUAUGUGAUGGAUACACGAGUGGCCUCUAAGAGGUCGAGUUCGGUUGAUGAUGUUUCGAUAGUGUGUGAGUUCCCGGAUGUUUUUCUCGAGGAGUUGUCGGGUGUGCCUCCCAAGAGGCAGGCAGAGUUCCGCAUCGAUUUGGUUCCAGGAGCAGCGCCUAUCGCCAAGGCACCUUAACGCCUUGCACCGCCAGAGAUGCAUGAGUUAUCCUCGCAGCUACAGGAGUUGCUGUGGAAAGGGGUUUAUUCGACCGGGUAGCUCGUCGUGGGGAGCGCCGAUCCUUUUUGUCAAGAAAAAGGAUGGUUCACACCGGAUGUGCAUUGACUACCGGGAGUUGAACAAGUUAACGAUCAAGAACCGUUAUCCAUUACUGAGGAUCGAUGAUCUGUUCGAUCAGUUGCAGGGAGCAUCUUGGUUCUCCCAGAUUGACCUGAGGUCUGGAUAUCACCAGAUGAGGGUGUAUGAUGAGGAUAUCUAGAAGACGGCGUUUCAGACUCGUUAUGGGCACUACAAGUUCGUGGUGAUGCCUUUUGGGCUCACCAAUGCACCAGCAGCGUUCUUGGAUCUCAUGAACAGAGUAUGUAGACCGAUGUUGGAUAGAUCGGUGAUUAUGUUCAUUGACGAUAUCCUGGUGUAUUCGAGAUCUAGAGAGCAUCAUGAGGAGCAUUUGAGAGAGAUUCUUGUAGUUUUGAGUUCAGAGAGGCUUUACGCCAAAUUCUCCAAGUGUGAUUUCUGGUUACGAGAGGUCCAGUUCUUGGGACACCUCGUCAACCAUAAUAGGAUAUUGGUCGAUCCGGCCAAGAUUGAGGCGGUUAUGAGCUGGGAGGUGCCGAGAUCCCCUACCAAGAUCAGGAUUUUUCUAGGGUUGGUCGGCUACUAUCGGAGAUUUAUCAAGGAUUUCUCCAAGAUUGUCGUGCCUCUUACCAGGAUGACCCGGAAGGGCGUUGCUUGUACGUGCGGUCUAGAGCAGCAGACCUCGUUUAAGACUCUUCGCAAGAGAUUGUGCGAAGCCCCGGUGUUAGCCCUUCCAGAGGGAAUGGAGGAUUUCAUGGUGUAUUGUGACGCAUCGAUAUCAGGGUUGGGUGCGGUGCUUAUGCAGAGAGGACACAUGAUAGUGUACGCCUCGAGGCAGCUGAAGCCUCAUGAGGUGAGGUAUCCCACCCAUGAUUUGGAGUUAAGGGCCGUAGUGUUCUCCCUCAAGAUAUGACGUCAUUAUUUGUAUGGGGUUCGGUGUAUCACAUACACGGAACACAAGAGUUUGAAGUACUUGAUGGAUCAGCCCAACCUGAACAUGCGCUAGAGGAGAUGGUUGGAUGUGGUAAAGGAUUAUGACUGCGAGAUCAUGUACCACCCGGGAAAGGCUAAUGUUGUAGCCGAUACCCUGAGCCGUAGGGCGGGUAGUGCCUCGGUACGAGAUAUUUAUAUGAGGAUAACGGUGAUGACUCAGGUGUUGGAUACCAUCCGAGAGGCCCAGACAAAGGCUAUGAGACCAGAGAACCACAAGAGAGAUCGGGUCAUUGGGCAGGUACCUGAGUUUGUUACCGAUAGCCAAGGGCUUAUGGCCUUUCAGGUUCGGAUGUGGGUGUCGUAUACGGGCGGGGCACGUACCAUCCUAAUGGAGGAGGCACACAGAUCGAGGUUCUCGAUCCAUCCUGGGGCUACUAAGAUGUAUUUGGACCUGAAGAGAGAGUAUUGGUGGCCCUGUAUAAAGAUGGAUGUGGCGUGGUUUGUUGAGAGGUGCUUGACCUGCCGCAGGGUUAAGGCCGAGCACCAAUGUCCGCAUGGCAAGUUGCAGCCACUUGAGGUUCCCCAGUGGAAGUCGGAACAAAUUUCCAUGGAUUUCAUCACCAAAUUGCCGAGGAACGCGAGGGGUGUCGAUGCAAUUUGGGUGAUCGUUGACCGGCUAACGAAGAGCACUCACUUCCUUGCUAUCAAUGAGAGCUCUUCCGCGGAGAGGCUGGUGGAGAUGUACGUUAGGGAGGUAGUGUCGCGGCACAGGGUGCCAAUCUCGAUUGUGUCAGAUCGAGACGUGUACUUCACUUCCAGGUUCUGGAAGAAAUUCCAUGAGGAUUUGGGUACGAGGUUGCAUUUCAACACUGCUUACCACCCACAGACGGAUGGACAGAGUGAGCGUACGAUUCAGACGCUCGACAAUAUGCUUCGAGCAUGUGUGUUGGACUUCGAUGGAAGUUGGGACACGUACCUACCAUUGGCUGAGUUUUCCUAUAACAACAGCCACCAUUCGAGUAUUGGUAUGCCUCCCUUCUAGUUGUUGUAUGGGACAAGGUGUAGGACUCCCAUCUGCUGGGGAGAGGUGGGGCAGCGAGUGAUGGGUAGCACUGAGAUAGUGCUUUAGACGACUGAGCAGAUACAGUAGUUCAGACAAAGGUUGCUGACAGCUCAGAGUCUUUAGAAAAGCUAUGCAUAUAGGCGACGAUCCGAGCUCGAGUUUCAGGUUGGUGACUUCGUACUCCUGAAGGUAUCUCCUUGGAAAUGAGUGAUCCGAUUCAGGAAGAGGGGCAAGCUGGGGCCCCGGUACAUCGGUCCUUUCACGAUGACCGCGAGGGUGGGCAGGGUAGCGUAUCGUUUGGAGCUACCUGCAGAGUUGAGCCAGAUGCAUGAUACCUUCCACGUGUCUCAGUUGAGGAAGUGUAUAGCCGACAAGUCGGCAGUAGUGCCACUAGAGGAUAUUCAGGUGGACGCGAGCUUGAAUUAUGUUGAGAGGCCGAUCGCGAUCCUGGAUCGGAGGAUCAAGGUUCUUAGAAACAAGGAAGUGCCCCUGGUUCAGGUCCAGUGGCAACAUCGGAGAGGGUCCGAGCCGACUUGGGAGCCGGAGUUGGAGAUGCAGGAGCAGCAUCCAGAGUUGUUUGCAGAGCGAGACUUAGAGGCCGAAGUCUGAUUCUAGUGGGGGAGAAUUGUAACAUCCGGAAUUCCAGGUAUAAUAUUUUAAUUAUUUAUUUUUGUCAAAAGGGGGGACUCGACGAGUUGACGCCUAGACUCAUCGAGUAGGAUCGCGAUUUGCUAACUGGAUCUAAUGAAGGGACUCGACGAGUCGGGGAGUCAACUCGACGAGUCCGUGUUGAGGGCAGAAACCCUAAAUCCUCAGGCCUAUGCCCUAUUUAAGGGAUCUUAUGACCCUCAUUUGCGGCCACCUUCACCCUUGAGAGCACUAGAGAACAAGAGAGCGUAAAGAAAGAGAGAGAGAGAGAGAGAAAGAGAGAGAGAGAGAGAAAGAGAGAGAGAGAAAGAGAGGAAGUCAUUUUCAUCAUCUCUAGUGUGAUUUUGCAAGGAAGAAGGAAGGAGGGCAAGCUAAACGGCUUUAGGAGCUCAGAUCCGCUACCAUUUUAUCAGAGGAGGCUACUAGAGGUAUGGAUCUAUGCUUAAUCUCAUGUUUAUGGUGAUCUACUUGAAUAUGGGGUUUUCUUUCCCCUUCUUUAGCUUGGAUUCGAAGCUUUUGAGGUCCCAAGGUGGAAUAACUCUUAGAUCUAGACCUUAAGAGGUCCAGAGAGUCCCAUCAAUCCUGCUUUAUGCUAUUCCUUUGGAGAUAUGAACCUAGGGUGCCAUUUCAGAAGCUAUUUCACCAAAAGAAGCAUUAUGGACGUUGCAUGAGUGCCAAGAUUGGACCUUUACGUGAUUAUUGAGUAUUGAGAAGUCAGAUCUAUAGGUUAGAGAAACAGAUUUGACCUCAGAAGGUCAUUUGAGCAUGGCUAUGGUAGAAACUCGCCGAGUCCAUAAGAGAACUCGAGGAGUCGAGUCGGGGUUGCCCCGCGAUUCAUGACCAGUGGUAACCUGUUGAGUGGAAGGUUCGCUUGACGAGUUGAGUGAGGCCUUAGAAGGAUUCAAAGGACACUCUUGGACUCGUCGAGUCACCCAUGUGCACUCGACGAGUCGGGUCAAAGUUUGAUCGUUGACUAGCGUUGACUUCAGUUGACCUUAGGGUUUUGGUCAAGCUGGUUCAAGAGAGGUCAGGGCGGGGUAGAAUGGUCUUCUACACAUCCUUUAGAAGUGAGGGCAUGAGAAAGUAUUGAUUAGAUAUGUUAUUAUGUUAAUAGGAGGAAUCUAGGUUGAUUUAUCGGGCGCGAGAGAUUAUCCGACAUCGUACGAGGUGAGUCUUCUCACUAUACUUUACCUAGAGUGGUAAUUAUGUGUGACUGGAAGCUCUUAUGUGCUACGAGUAGAAUGCGAUGUAUGUUGUUAUAUGAUAUGUAUGUGUUAUGUAUGUUAUGAGUAUUAUGAUAUGGAUCGGAAGGUCAACAGUGUAUGGACCGGAAGGUCAAGAUGAAGAGGAUUGGAAGGUCAUAAGGGUAGGGCCGGAAGGUCUACCAGGGUUGGGAUGAAAGUCCCCUGAGACACAUUGAUCGGAAGGUCCCAUAGAGCUAUGGCCUUGAGUGGCGUAUGUGUUGCAUGUGGUAUUUUGGGGAACUCACUAAGCAUUUAUGGUUACCGUGUUAUCUGAUAUGUGUUUCAGGUACUAGCGAGGAUCGCGAGAAGGCGCCGGCAUGAUCUAUACACACUGAUGAUGAUUUAUGUACUUGAGAUUCUGGGGUUGUUAAUCGAGAUAAUAUGUGAUACAAUGGAAUUUAUUAUGAAUGAAAUUAUGUUUUAAAAAUGAAAAUUUGUUUUGGAAAUUCACGUUGUUACAACGGUGGCUCUGUAUCAGAUGAAACCGCUAACGAAACAUCAACAUCCUUCUGCUUCUGAAUAUACUCAGACCCGGUGCAAGUGCACGCCUCUGUUUUUCCUCUCAAAUCACCUGCCGGAGUAGUCACCGAAAAACCCUAAAAUUUUCCAUUCCUACACUAAUGGAGUUCAAAUCAGGAUUCAAUGUGCAGCUGAAGCAAAGUCAAGUCCAAGCCAGUCUUCAAUGGCGAUGUGAUAAGAACAAGCCUUCAAUUAAAUAAUGUGUUCAGGCCCCAGAUUGUGGAUUCCACUCUAAAACCUGCAACUACUUCCAGUGAGUUUUUUUCUUUUUCUUUGAAGAUCUUUUGUAUGGAGAAAAAUUGAAUCUCAUGAACUCCCCCCCCCCCUGAAGAUUGUUGUGAUCGUUGCUGCCUUUCCCCCUUUCAUCUUCCAUUUCUUCUUCGUUCCCUAGCCUGAACCCACCACCGAAGUGGGUGUUUCCCCGGAGCAAACAUCGGAGGCAGCAACCCCCUUUUGAUUCCCCACCUUCGCACCUUCCUUUCGAGACAGAAGAAGCACAGGAGCUGCUUAAGCAGCCCUUGCUGCUUUCGUUACUCCCAGCUACAAACCAAUAAGGCAUCGGAGGUGCUCUUCUUCUCAACGAGUCUUCCACCACCGAUACUUCCCUGUCACUUCCUCGUUCGUGAUUAUCCUUCUCGAUCAGAUGAAAACCAAAUAUCGGAGGUCCCUUUCCCCGUCGCCGGCAGCAUAAGCUGCCCCCAUUCUCCUAUUUCAUUUCUCGAUAUAUGAAUCAUUGGAGGCGGUUGAUUAAAAUAAAUUGCUUUAGGGUUCUUAUUCGGAAUGAAAAAAACAAAUUAAAAGGAGAGAGAGAGAGAGAGAGAGAGAGAGAGAGAGAGAGAAAGACUUUUAUUUUUUUAAUUAGUUAAAUAAAUAAAUAAGUAUUUAGAUUUUAAAAAAAUGAAAGAAAUGAAAAAUAAAAAACAUUAGGGUAUUACAGUCAUUUCACUAUUCAGAAGGACCACAAACGCAAAGAAACAAGCUCAAAAAGACCACGAAGCCAAAAAAAAUCAGGGUUUUGACUAAAACCCCCAAAAAAAUGCAUACCACAGAGACUAUUUUUGCAAUUUUGUCUAAAAACAAUAUCCAAUGAUUUGUGAAAACCUUGAUUGAGUUAUUGCACGUUUUUCUUUUAUCUUUUAUUCUAUUUGUUUUCAUUUAAAAUUUAGUAGGGUUGAUUAAAUUGUCAUGAUUUUAAUGUUUUAAGUUCUUAGAUACAAUGAAGAAAAGAUAUAUAAAUUUGAUUAGAAAUGUAGCAAGUCACGUGAUUAAGGAAAAAUACUAAGUGAGAUAUCAUGAUUAGUUUGGUAUAUAUUGAUCAAAAUUAUAUAGUUUGGAAGGUUUUAUAUAUAAGCUUAGGUACAUAACAACCAUAUAUUUCUUCAGUCGAGGUUUUCACAAAUCUUUGAAUAUAGUUUUUCAAUUAAAGAAAAAAAACAUUUGAGUUAUAUCGUUAAAAAUGUAUUUGUUUUUUACUUUCCUUAUAAAUUUCAUUAAUUUUUUUUGCAAUAAAAAGAUAUAUAAUUGAUCUUUUUCAUUCUAUAAUUUAACUCAAUUCAAUGGCAAUAUAUUAAAGCAAAAUUAAGAGAAAAUAAAAUAUAAUUUAUUUGUUUAAAACUAUGUCGUUUAAGAAAAGUUUUAUACCUAAACUUAGUUACGUAACAGUCACAUAUUUAUUUUUCCAAAAUAUAUAUAUAGUUUUAUAAUAACAUUAUUUAUAAAAUAUAUUAAAAUUAUAUUUUUAAACGAAAAAUAAAGUAGAGUUAAAUAUAAAAUUGGGUUAGAGAUAUCUUUAUAUGUGUAACCACCAACUCCAAUUAGAAAAUGUGAGGGAACAAAUCGAUGAUUUGACAUAUGAAAGUGGAUGGCUUGCAUGCUUGUAUUCUUAUCCCCCAAACACAAUAAUUUAUUUAGACAAAAGAGACAAAUGAUAUUAGGUGUAACCUUAAUUUGGUCACUUUUGUCUUCAACUAAUUCCAUUUCAUCAUAAAUUGUAAAUACUUUGCGAGUACGAUUACAGGUCAAGUAUAUUAAAUCAUUGCUCUUUCAAAAAAAAAGUAUACUAAAUCAUUUAUUUGAAAUUUAAGUUUUUUAAUUGAUAUAUGGUUUAUUAAGAAAAUCCAUGAUAAUAGAACUUUUUCUUUAAUCCUUUUCCUAAGUAUCAAUUCAACAAUUCGAAAAAUUCAACGAAUAAGCGAGAUUUUUUCAUUAACAUAUCUGUAGUACUUGUCAUAUCCUUUUAUGAUUUUUUUUGCUUAAGUUGGUCAAUUAAAAACAUUUAACAAGAACUUAUCGACUGUAACUUGGAAGAGCAUAAAACCUGCCGGAAUCCUUGAUUCUUGUACAGCAACAUACACUAAUUCACAGUUUAAGCCAUCCAUCCACUUUCACAAGACUUUUUUUUUUUCAUAAAUUCGUGGCAUUUGGUUUAGAAUCUUUGAAUAUUCAGAAAAUUCCACCGACCAUUAAUUGAAGGCCACACAUUAAACUAUUACAUUACAAAUAAAAGAAAAAGUAAUUUGUAAUUAUUUAAACAGGUUUAUGAGACGCCACUUAUUUAUUAUUAUUAUUUUUAUGUUGCUUAAUUAGUUUUAUUUGUUUUACGUGAGCUGAGUAUAUAAAUGACAUAAUCUAGCGACAUAUACAUUUAUUAGUAACUUAAAAGUUUGUUUGCUUUUUUUUUCCUUUUUUAUUUAUUUUAUUUUAUUUUAUUUUAACAAAACAUAGAAAUACUGGUAUCAAAUUCAAUGUAAUCUUUAUUUUGAAGUCAAAUAAAAUAUAAUCAUAAUCAUAAAAUGACAAUAAAUUUUUUGAGUUUAUCUCUUUAUAACUAAUUUUUAUACAAUUUACAGAAAUGGAUCAUAAUGUUUGAAAUAGAUUUGAAACUAAUUUUUACACAAUUUGUAAAAAUAAUCGGAUAAGUGGGGCUUUGUUUCAAAGUUACAUCAAAAAUAUAUUUUGUAAUACAAUAUAUGUUGGAUUUCGGACAAAAAAAAACAAAUAUUUUGAAAUUUCAAGAACAUAUCUAAAAUCCGAAAAUUUAAAAGCAUGUUUUGAUUUUUAUUAAAUUUCAACGAAAAUUUAAAGAAAUGUAACAAAAAAAGGUAGUAAAAUACAAUAUAAUGACAUAAACGGUGCAACCAAGAAGUUCAAAUAUAUAUAUAUAUAUACACAUAUACACANNNNNNNNNNNNNNNNNNNNNNNNAUAUAUAUGAAUGAUCAUUUGAGAAUCUAUAGUUUCCCGAGAACCCGAGAACCAAAUAAGCACAGUUAGAUCAAAAUAAUAGAAGGUCAAGAUGAUUUAUGACAUUUUUGUAAAUAAAUGGAAAAAUUAAACACGGUGGUAUGGUGCUGAAAUUAAUCGAAAGGCAUUUAUGGUACUAAAUUCAUAUCAUCAUCUCCACUAAAUCAAUCGAUGUCAUCUUUCUCCCUAAUUCUUCAAUCGUCUGAUCAUCCUUAUUUCUCUCACACACACAUACACACAUCUUCAUUCUUCACUCCUCGCCGUCAGACUCUGUCAUUUAACUUCGUAGUUGAUUCAUCGAUUACCGGAUCCGCCUCCUCAAUUGACCCCCUGCGAAGUUGAAAUCGGAACAAAGCCAUCGAUUGCGACGAUUGAGACGAUGUCUAACCCGAUUACGUGAAAAAUGAAUUGAAAGCAUACACAAAGCAGAUUCUCGAUUUGAAUCUUGCAGAUGUUAAUUUGAGGAACGGACGGUUGCCUUUAUUAAUUGACAUCAGAUUGUCGUCGACGUUGCCUCCACCACCAUACCAUCGCCACGGCCGCCACUUCUCUUUAAUUCAAUUUGCAAUACACUACGAUACAGGUAUUUGUACACAUUUAUCAAUAUUUACUUACACAUGUAUACAUAAUAUCAUACAUACUACAAUUUCCCCAUUUUUGUAUUCCGCCUUAUUACUGGAUGUCUGUUUUUGAUCAAACAAUUCACCUGUUACGAACCGAUAACUCGCCGUUCUAGUCUAUACAUACGUUUCACUAUUUUGUUAUGAGUACGGAAUGUGCACAUAACAUGUUUGAUGAAUUGCCACUCAAUCAAAAUCUUGGCUAGUUCAUUUAUAUCUAGAAUGAAAUCAUUCCAGUAGAACACACACACAUUUGAGAACUGUAUCCUGUGUAUUUUUCAGAGUAUUAGCUACAAAGGGUGGUAGAUAUGGAAUUCUGCCCGACUUAUGGGAUGUUGUUGAAGUAUGAGUUGCCAAAUUUGCAUCUUCCUGCUAGAUUUUUCUGCCCCACAUGUCCAUAUGUUGGCCAAAUAGAGCAGAAGGUAAUAAAUUUAUCAAUUUAUCAUACUCAAUCAUGCAAUAUUGCAACACAUUUUUUUCCUUUUCCUUAUUGUUAAAUGCAUCUUUUUCUUCCCUUUUAUAGGUCGGAUCAAAAGAAAGCAAUGUUUGGUUAAAAAGGAGAUUGACCCCAUCAUCACCCAAGAUGACAUGAAGAAUGCACCAAAAAUAGAUCAAGGUAUUUAUAUGCUUCACAAUUUGAAUAAAUUGGUGCACUUUUUCUUUUUGCAACUUUAAUUUAUGAUGUUCUUUGUCUCUUGUAGCCCGGAUUGUGGUCACAACAAGGUUGCAUACAUCAAGUUUCAAACAAAGCCAGCUAAUGAACCCCUGACAAUAAACUUCACCUGUGAGAAAUGUGGGAAAUGUUGGCGUGAGGACUAAAAUUCAAACCAAGGGAAACCUGCAUUUUUUUGCCUCAAAUAUUGAAUCAAAGUGUUUCUAUUAUACUUUUGGUACUAAUGAAAUAAAGGUAUGAUUUUGUUUAUCUGUUUUACCUUUUUGCUAACAAACAUGAAUCUACAAAUGCUACUAAAAUUCAGAAUUCAGCUUCAUGGUUCAAAAGAUGAGGAAAAAAAGGUCCAUUUAUCAGAUAUUGUGAUUUACAUGUGAAUCACUUGUGAUUUACAUGUGAAUCACUUGUGACACAUGUGAAUCAUUUGUAAUUUACAUGUGAAUCACAUGUAAUUCACAUGUAAAUCAUCUUAAUUAUUUAUUCUUUCUAACCAAAUAGUUUAUUUUAACUCCUAAUAUAUUGAGCUUCAUGAAUCACUUGUGAUUACAUGUGAAACACUUGUGAUUUACAUGUGAAUCACUUGUGAUUCACAUGUGAAUCACUUGUGACACAUGUGAAUCAUUUGUGAUUUACAUGUGAAUCACAUGUAAAUUAUCUUAACUAUUUAGUUUUUCUAACCAUAUAGUUUAUUUUAAUUUGUUUCAUUUUAGCAAUAUAUCACAAGUGAAUCACAUAUGAAUUACAUGCGAUUCACAUAUAAAUCACAAGUGAAUCACAUGUAAUUCACAAGUGAUUCACAUAUGAAUUACAUGUGAUUCACAUGUAAUUCACAUGUAAAUCACAAGUGACUCACAUAUGAGUUACAUAUAAUUCAUAGGUAAUUUACAUAAAAAUCACAUGAAAUUCACAAGUGAUUCACAUAUGAAUUACAUUUGAUUCACAUGUAAAUCACAAGCGAAUCACAUGUAAAUUUCAUAUGAAUUACAUGAGAUUCACAUAUAAAUCACAAGUGAAUCACAUAUGAAUUACGUCUAUAUGCACACAUAUAUUUUUGUGAGCUUCUUGCAUUAAUUAGUUUUUAAAAAAAUUUCUUGUAGCUUUGGAAGAGUUUGGAGAAAAUAUUGAAGAGGUGAAAAUGAUAAAUUAAAGAAAAUAUGGAAAUAUUGACACGGAGACAUGAAAACACUUCGAAAUUUUGUAGUAUUUUUUAUUUUUUUAAUAUUUUAUUUUGUAUCAAAUAAAAUACAUGUACUAUGGUGUUUAUAGAUUAUUAAAUAAAAAAUGGAUUUUUUAUAUGAUUACUUACGAAUACUAUAGUAUAAGAAAGAUACAUAUAUGUACUUGAAAAAUAUGCAUAUAUGCAAUUAAAAUGUUGAUUUUUUUUUGCUAAAAAAAUAGAGUUUUUUUUUUAAUAUUCUAGUUUUUUUUUAAUUUAUUGAUUUUUAAAAGUUACUUUAAAAAAUGCAGUUUUUUUUUAAAAAAAUUGCAGAUUUUUUUAAAAAAAAUGCAGCUUUUUUGAAAUAAAAUGAAGUUUUUUUAUAAAAAAAUGCAGUUUUUUUAUAAAAAAAUGCAGCUCUUUUAUAAAAAAAAAUGCAGUUUAUUUUAAAAAAAAUCAGUUUUUUUUAAAAUAUUAUUUUAAUUAAAAAAUGAAAAAAAUCUCCAUUUUUUUUAAAAAAUCAAAAAUUAUUUUUAAAAAAAAUCGGAAUUUGAUUUAUUAUGUUUAUUUUUAGAAUUUUUAAUUAAUAUUUCCAAUAACAAAAAAAAUUAAACAUUAAAUGAGACCGGUAAGAUGACGAUCAUGUCCAUAAUGAGUUUAUUUUGAUCCAACGCUCCACCUUUAGUUCUCAGGUUCUCGGGAAAGUAUGAGUUCUCAAUGGAUCUCAACCAUAUAUAUAUAUAUAUAUAUUAAAACUAUGUUGUUUUUGGUUAUUGAUUUUGUGUGAAAGAAAGUACCAAACUUGUGAAAUUUUUUUGUCGAAUAAAAUGUUAAAACCCUUAUUUUUCCAUAGCCCUUUAUCGACCGGCAUUUCCAUCCGCCACCACCAACCACCCCUUUUUCCUCCUCCAUUCUCUCUCUUCACCGGAAAGUUGUAUCAGACACCACCGAUUCAUUCAUCACACAUCGAUUCAUCAAUGAAGACGAUGGAAUGAGUAAUUCACCAAAAAACAAUUUCAUAGAAAUCAGAAUUCAUCAAAAAAGAUUUCCGUGAAAUCAGAAAUCAUUUCAGGGAAUUUAGCGAAAUCACAAUUGAUAAGGAAUUAGGUUUGACAUCGUUUUAAGUUAACCAGCCCUUUUUUCUUCCUUGUACCUUACCACAUUUAAGUUAACAAUUUCCAUGAUGAUUGUUGUUAGUCCUUCGAUUCUUCCCAACAUAUUGAAUCACAAAGAUUCAUCUUAUUUCCAUUUGAGGUUUUUUAUCAUCAAAUUUUCUUAAUUUUUCUGGUUAUCACGUGUUUCUAUUUUAUCUUUUUACAUUGAGAUGUUUAAUCGAUAGCAAGUUUAUUUUUAUGUUGAUUUCUAUAUAUUCAUCUUAUUUCAGAGAAAUGUUUAUGGGAGUAUACACCAGGUGUGUGAUUAAAUGCCUUAGUGAACUUUUCAAUCAGCUAGUGUAGGUAACCAUGCUUUACAUAGGUUGGGAUGGUGUUUGUUUUCUAAUAAAAGAACAAUCAUUUAACUAAUUUGGAUUCUAGUGUUCAUUUCCAUGAAGUAAAACGAACCUAUUUCAUCCAAAAGAAUUGAAAAACACUUACUCAUAUACCAAAAUUUGUAAUACUUUGUUGACUUGAAUCUAUUAUUAUAUAACAGUUAAAAUUACACAACUGCCUUUUCAAUUGCUUUCUAUUUCCAUGAACCAAUUGCCUUUCAAUUCCAUUCUUUGAUCUUUGCAAUCUCAGUCUCACAUUUUCUAUGUUUAGGUGAUGUGUGUCCAUAAACUUUCAACACCACAAGUAGUUUUAGUUAGCCCUAAUAUUUAAAGGAAAACAUCAUACUACAAGGAGUCUUAAUUUCAUGAAAUCUUUUUGCAUAGUCACUUAAAAUCUUGUCCAUAGGCUCGGUUAUGUUCACAUACUCAUGUUGCACUUCCAUUUCAAAGUAAAUUUUUGUAUUUCUUAGAAUUUCAUUUGUAAAGAUCAUAAUAGUUAAAUAUAAGAGUAAAUUACAAAAGAAUGAAAGAUUGGUCCAUGAGACUUUUUGAUUUUGGUCCUUAUUUCUAAGAUUGACAUCACUUUUGGACUGAACACCGUAAAAUUAAGAAACUACAAGGAAUAUUUUGUAAUUUACUCCAUGUUUUUUUUAUUGAAAUUGGUCUUAUUUCAAUGUUCCAAGGACCAAAAUCGACAUUGUGAUUGUGAGGGAUUAAAAGUUUCAUAAAACAAUAAAAUAGGGGCAAAAAUGUUAAAAAAAUAUUUCAAGUGAAAGCAGUCGAACAAAAUCAACAUCAACUAGCUUCCAUUGCCAAAUAAAGCUUGAAUUAUCAUAAGAGUCUGACUAUCAACAAAAUAAACCAUUCCAACUUUCAAUCUUUAAAAAAACUCAAAUGUUACAAAUGAAGAACAUUAGUAGGUUGAAGAAUCGUGAAUGUGCUAAUGGCUUAUGCAAGCAAGCACUUACCUUGAUGCUACUCAUGUCCAAACGGUGCCCAAGAAGUCGUGCAAGAAUCAAACAUUAUGCAACAAAAGGGUAUUUUGGUCGGUUAGCAAUAAUUUACGUUCUAUUUCUUUUAACAGAUUUAUAGACCAAACUAUUAUAAACAACAAGGGAACUAAUAACCAAAUAAAUGUAAACUCAAUUAGAUUAAAUAUACAAAACUUUAAACAAAUAGUUACAUGCAUACACCCACGAUCCAUUGCAAUUACCUAUCUAUUUUUCAAUUAAUAAUGAACAAAAGUCAUCAAGUUUUGAAUUAUAAAAAAACUAUACAACAUAUUUCCAACAAUAAAUUUUAGACAGAUUAUUACCAUUCAUCAUGAAGCACCAAUUUAAUUAAUAUUAUUCUCAAUUUUUGACAAAUAACUACGUUUUUUUAGAACAAAUAAGAGAUCAGUUACUUACAAUGAAAAUGAUCCUUAAAGCCUUCAUGCUUGGAAUAUUUGUUCUUUUCUCACAGCUCGAUCCCGCAAAGCAAAUUGUAAAAAUAUCAUAUAUUGCCUAAAUUAAAUAAUAUUAUGAAUAGAAACAAAGUAUAUUGCCUAAAUUUGAUAAAAAAAAAAGUAAUGUAUGUUGUCGUUACAUGUUAUGCUAAAUCUUAAGUUAUUCAAUACAUGAAAAGAACUCAUGCUUGCUCUUCACAGAUCCCAUCCUGCAAUAGCAUCUAUGCUCAUACAAAAACUUACAUGUCAUCAAGAAAAUCUUAUCAUCAAACAACUUAAAAUCUACCAACACAGGGUGUGAAAGUAGAAUAAUACCCUUUGGGGUAAGGGAUCUAGUUACUCAAACUGGACACCAUAACUAUCAAGAUUGAAGAAUGAAUCACAUACUCUGGCAAUAAUCAUCUUAAAUUGACAAAUCUAAGACCUUUAUAAAGUUUUGCAAUCUGAAAUAUCACCAUUCCAGAUUAAAACACAAUGAACUAUAAUCAAAUAAUUAUAUGUUUUUUCUCCGUAGUUAUGAGUUACAUCUGAUUCAUUCCUUCUGUACACACAAAAUAUAAAAAAUAUAGAGAUUAUCAAUUACCUUUGAUAAAGGUGAAAUUAGGGUUCAACAAUCCGAUUUCACCAGCGGAAAUCAUCAUGGUCAUCGGUAUUGGGUUCUUGUCAGCUAAUAACCUUAUAUUUCCAUCCUCGUCCAUCCUCACAUUCAACCACACCUGCGUCGUACACUCCAUCACUCGAUUUAUGACCAAAUUAAGUGUAAGAGACCUAGAAGUAUGUUGGAGAACGACUCUUUGUAUCAAUCUGAUUGGAAGGAAAAGCGGUGGGAGUGGGAACAAAGAUGAGCAACCCCAAUCUUGAGUCGAUGCCUUCAUCAUCUUCAUGAACUGAAGUUGUCUUAAGAGAGAUGAUUUUUCCAGUAGUUCUCAGCGCCGAUGUACAUUGUUGCUUCUUCCUGCUUUCAUCUCGAUCUCUUCCAAAACAUAAAUUUAUCUUUGGGGGAGGUAUAAACAGAGAGGAAAGCAUAUGAGCAAACGAAAGCAAACUGUGUAUAAAUUGAGACUGAGAAACAUAUAAAAAAAGGCAAAAAAAAAAAGGAGAAGUAGAAAAGAACGGUGGUGGAGGAUGGGUAUUUCCAAGCGCGAUGAAGUUGGUGGAGGCUGAAGGUGCCAGCAUCGAUAGCUAAAGCUAUAGCUUGAGGUCGUGUGUGGUAUAACCGAAAAGAGGAAGUAAAAAUUGGUGGUGACUGGUGGUUUGAUCUCGGUGGCAGAAUUCAAGAGAAUAGUGGAUAAUCUCAACGGAGAAAAACAGAGAAUAUGGAAAGACUGAAGGCAUCGCGCAUCGCACCUGGUUUUACUUAUAUCAGAGUGUGUAAUGAAUUUUGUAUCCACGAUUUUAUGUCAUUAUUCAGCAGUGAAUAAAUGAAAAGUGACAUGUUAAAACUAAAAUUUGAAUUUACUACAGAAAUACACAUACAUAAAUUUAUAAUAAAAAAAAUAACAUUGUAAUGAAUAUAUGAAUAAUCAAACGUUAGUAUUCAUAUUAAAAUUAGUUUAACAAUACAUAUAUACAACAUUAAUUACAGAAUAAUAAUAUAAACAUAGUGAUUUUAAAUCUUCACAUUAUUUACUAGUUUUUAUUUAAACUUAUAUAUAUAUAUAUAUAUAUAUAUAUAUAUAUAUAUAUAUAUNNNNNNNNNNNNNNNNNNNNNNNNNNNNNNNNNNNNNNNNNNNNNNNNNNNNNNNNNNNNNNNNNNNNNNNNNNNNNNNNNNNNNNNNNNNNNNNNNNNNNNNNNNNNNNNNNNNNNNNNNNNNNNNNNNNNNNNNNNNNNNNNNNNNNNNNNNNNNNNNNNNNNNNNNNNNNNNNNNNNNNNNNNNNNNNNNNNNNNNNNNNNNNNNNNNNNNNNNNNNNNNNNNNNNNNNNNNNNNNNNNNNNNNNNNNNNNNNNNNNNNNNNNNNNNNNNNNNNNNNNNNNNNNNNNNNNNNNNNNNNNNNNNNNNNNNNNNNNNNNNNNNNNNNNNNNNNNNNNNNNNNNNNNNNNNNNNNNNNNNNNNNNNNNNNNNNNNNNNNNNNNNNNNNNNNNNNNNNNNNNNNNNNNNNNNNNNNNNNNNNNNNNNNNNNNNNNNNNNNNNNNNNNNNNNNNNNNNNNNNNNNNNNNNNNNNNNNNNNNNNNNNNNNNNNNNNNNNNNNNNNNNNNNNNNNNNNNNNNNNNNNNNNNNNNNNNNNNNNNNNNNNNNNNNNNNNNNNNNNNNNNNNNNNNNNNNNNNNNNNNNNNNNNNNNNNNNNNNNNNNNNNNNNNNNNNNNNNNNNNNNNNNNNNNNNNNNNNNNNNNNNNNNNNNNNNNNNNNNNNNNNNNNNNNNNNNNNNNNNNNNNNNNNNNNNNNNNNNNNNNNNNNNNNNNNNNNNNNNNNNNNNNNNNNNNNNNNNNNNNNNNNNNNNNNNNNNNNNNNNNNNNNNNNNNNNNNNNNNNNNNNNNNNNNNNNNNNNNNNNNNNNNNNNNNNNNNNNNNNNNNNNNNNNNNAUCAAUUGUGUAUCCGUGUAACUAACUUCUAACCAUUGCAUCAAUGAGAAACAAAAUCAUUCUUGAAAGAAUACUAUUAAAUUUAUUAUUAUAUUAUUGUUUUAAGAAUUUAAAAUUCAAAAAUGUCUUAGGAUAAUAUGGAUAUUUUGCGCAUCCUUAGUUUAGGCAACAAAAUAAUCAAAUCUAAACUUUUUGGAAUUGAUUUUUUUUUUGUUUGCAAAAAAAAAAAUGUUUGUUCUAAGAGAAAUGUUUUUAGAAAAAAUAAACAUUUUUGACAUAAUAUUUUAGUAAUAAUCAUCAUUUGUUAAUAAAUAAUAAACAUUAUUGACAGAAUACACCGUGGUCUAUAAAUAUUUCUGAAAACAUAAAAGCAUAACAUAAAAAAUUCUGAAGAAUCUACUAAAAAUCUAACUAUUCUGAAAAUACUAUAUUGAUUGUAGCAUUUAGUCAUGUUUAUAUUCCAAUCUUCUAGAACACUUUCUUCUAGGAAUUCUUGUAUUUGUAAAAUUUCCAAAAUUGGAUCGACGGACAACCAUUUUGAAGAGAAUACACCUUCAUUCUUGAACAUUUUUGCAAUGCGAUGUAGAAAAGUCGCACCUUAUAUCAUCAAACCUAAAAAAGAAUUUCAAUAAUACUUUGAUGAUGAAUUCUUAAAGAAAGAAAUAAUUUAAGCUUAAAAAUUAAUAAUUAAUGAACAUAUAGAUCAAGAACUAGGAACAAAAGCUUAAAUCAUCAAUUGUAUUUUAUUUAGAGAAGACCAAGCAUAAUAUUCAUUCAUGGUGUCAAGAAUUAGUAUAAGAUUAGAGUAUCAACAUCACUAUUAUAUUAUAUGAUAAUCCACAAUGUACCUUAUAGAAAAGAAUUUAUAUUUGAAAAAGAUAAUCUAUCCAAAGUAAGUUUAAAAAAGUGAACUAACCUCGGGACUUGAAACAGCAAAAAAAUGGAACAAAGAAUUCGAUUUAAAAAUGAGUUUGUGUUGCUUUGUGUAACAUCUAACCCUAGUUCCUAAUCUUUUCUACCAGUAGCAUAACAGGUUCAACGACAAUAUAGAUAACUUUUUGUGGACAACCCAUCAAAUAUCCAUGCCUCGGUACUAUGGAGAAAUGAUAAUAUAUUUCGAUAUUGAUCAACUGACACCACCAAAACAUUCUUCUUUAAAAAAAUUGAAACUUUAAGAGUCCUCGGGAUUAAUAAUAUAAACGAUUUCUGACUGCAAUUAGCAUAAAAUCAUAUCUAAGCUUAAAGAAAAACAUGGAAAUCGAGAAAAAAGGGAAACAAAGAGAAUCGAUAAAAAGGAACCGUGGUUAUUUUCUACAAAUCGAUCAGAAAGAGAAUAAUGAGGUGGAUCAUAGUGACCUUUUCCAGGAUCGUAAUUGUUCCCACCACCGUCGUCAUUGUCGGUCAGACAGAUGACGAGGUUGCUAGUAAGGGUUUGGUGAGGCGUCGUCGGAUCCUAUAACAUAUUUCCUAUCUAUUUCAACAUAUUAUUAUCGAAGGAAGUAUAUCCUUAUGGGUGCUCAAUUUUCCAAAACGAACCAUAGUAGGAGUUUGAUUUCGAUGGUAAUGGGGUGGGGUGGAGACGAUAAAGACUGACAAAGACGAUGCACAUCGUAUCUUCAUCUUCAUACGUAAUUUUGUUUCCAUAAAUUAGGUGUUUAUUUGUGAGGUUCAAUAAAGAACCAUUAUUAACCAUGGAACCAAGGAACCAAUCUUUUUUUUCCAACUUUUAGAGCUUAUUUUUUAUCCUAAAAAACUUAAAAUAGAAAUUUAUAAUUUUUUAUUAUUUUUCCAAUGAUAUCAAAUUUGAUAAAAAAAUUUGUUUUUUUUUUUUUUUUUUUUUUNAAAUUCUAAAAAAAAAAAUUCGUCAAAUUCACAAUGUGAAUCUAAAUUCACACGGUGAAUUCGAAAAAUAUUUUUAACAUUCACAAUUUUAUGUUAUGAAUUUAGAUAUUUUUAGUUUUUUUUUUCGAUAAAAAAUAAACUCUAAAACUUAAAACAAAAUAUCUCAUCUCGGGUUUGUUACGUGAGUACCCACCUAUCCUCACAUCUUGUAACAUACCCAACAUAUGUUUCCUAUAAAAAAAAAAUAUUCAUUACAUAACUCUAGUAGGAAAUUUUUUGCCAUCAAACUAAGUACUAAUAAACAAAAAAGAAUCAUGGUUUGGAGACACGAUCUCAGUAAUCAGCAAAACAAGUAAUAUAAUACCGGAAUGAAACUAACAACAAAAAUGAGAAUGAAACCAACAACCGAUAACAAUCAGAAGAAUCAAAUACUAACAACAUCGAAAAAACUUACCAAACAAAAGAGACCGAAAGCAGAAACUACGAUGAAUUGUGCCAGCCCUAUGAUACCUUGUGAAGUGAAACAAAAUAAAGGGUACACGGCUAGCUUUAUAAUUGAAGUAAAGUGAAGUAUAAUUAUAAAUAAAAAAAAUUGUUUAGAGUCAACCUAUCCAAAUAACUAAAUAAAAGUACAAUAAAAAAAAUAGUGCAAAUGUCUAAUAAAAAAUAGUUCAAUAUCUUUAAUUAUUUCUAUCCAGUUAUUUUUUUUGUAAUUUGUAUCUAUUUCUAGCAUUGUGUUAGUUAUUUAAUAACAUUUGUCGCUCCAAGAACAAAAAGACAAAAAUUUCCUUACAUAUAUAUAAAAAAAAUAUUUACUCACUAUUGGAGUGAGAAAAAAAACACUUUGAGACCAUGGUUUAACUAAUGAAAUCGCCAAAAAAAAAAUCAUAACUAACAAAAAGAAAAUGCCUCAAUGAGAAUAACAUUAGUAUAUAAUGUUAUUAGCUUCGCCAAAUAAACUUUUAGAUCAUCAAAAAGAAAAUAAUAAUAAUAAUAAUAAUAAUAAUAAAAUAAGUUGAAGAUAUAAAUUUAAAAAUGUUACAUUAUUAUUCCAUUGUAAAUUUUAAACUAAUUUUCUAUCCCCUUCUCGUUUAUAUCGUAGAGUGCUUACAGAUAGAUUUCUUAAAGAAAUCAUGUUUGAACCCACCAAUUUGAUAUGUUCAGGGCUGGACCAGGCUAUGGGCGACAUGGCCCAGGACGUCAGUUGUCAGCUUGGCAUCAUUUUAAAGCCCAAAUAUUUUACUUGCUCUCUAUUUUCUUUCUUUCGGAACUGGAAAUUAGAAUUUCAACCCUUCAUCAACUGAUCAACUCCCAUGUAAACUGGAAUUAAAUUAAAACCUUUUUUUUUCUAAAAAUUUCUUUUUGAUGUACAAGGACAAAUAUGAAAUUUGGAAUUUUGUUUCGGAAAUUGGAAAUAUAACUUUUAAAAGCACCUUUUUUUUUUCUUGAAUCGUUUUUUUUACUUUUUAGCAUCCAUUGCCCUUGAGUUUGAAUAUGUUAAGUGUUGACAUUGAUCUAUAAUAUUGUUUCUUAGACCUCGGUCACUUUUGUAAGCACUGAACUUAGAGAUUGAUUCAUGUUGUUAUGUUCUUAGGCAUCUCCAACUCAUCUUCAAACUCUAUUUUCUUUUUCAUUUCUUUUUAAUUCUUCUUCAACCUUACCUCAUUUUCAUCUUUAUUUUUAGAGAUAUAAAUAGUAUUCAGUUGCCAAUUUUAGUCCCUCUUAUUUUUAUUUUAUAUAUUUUUAGUUUAUUUUUAUUUACUAGUUAUAAUUUAAAUGCAAUAUUUAAUAUUUGUAAUAUCAUGUUAUAUACUAAUUUAUAUUGAUUAAUCGUAAAUAUAGAGUUUAAUAUUUAUUUAUCGAAUUCAUAUAAAAAAAAUUAAAUAUAUAUUAAAAACUUGAAAUACGAUAACAUAAUUUAUAAAAUAUAGUAAUCAAAUAUAAUUGUGAUCUUGAUAUAUUUAUUAUAAAUAUUAUCUUAUUUAUUUAAUAAUUAAUUAUAAUAAAGUAAUAAUCAAUUUAAUAUUUUAUUAUAUAUAAACAUUUUAUUUAUGACAAUAUAACUCGUAAUAUUUUGUAAUGAAAAAAUAUAAUAUAUAUUUGUUAACAUCUAAUUAAUAGAGAGGUGUAUUGACAAUGUAUAUAAGUUAUAAAAAUAAAAUAUUCUAGGAAUAUUUUUUUUGGGAUAAAAAUAGGAUAAAAAAUGAAGUAAGGUUUGGAGAUGAAACACUAUUUACCUCCAUUUUUUCAUUCAUUUAUGUAAGAAAAAAUAGAGAUGAGUUGGAUAUGGUCUUAGCCCUAGUAUUAAUAUACAUAAUUCAAACAUUAUAUUAACCUAUAUUGUUUUUCGAGAUUUUUUAAGUUGUCAUAUUUGGUAAAUCAAUAAGUAGUUUAUAAACUAACUUAUAAGGUAGUUUUUUAAAAAUCUACUUAAAUUAGUUUUUUUUAUGAACUUUUUUAAAAAAUUUCAAAUAUAACCCUUAAAUAAUUAUUGAAACAUUUUUUUUAAAUGUCUUUUUAUGUCAUCUUUGAGCUACAUUUUCAGCUAGUUUUACCAAAUAUUAUUUUUUAUCUGUUAGUUUUUUAGCUACCAGCUAGCUUUUUAUUUAACACUAGGUUUUUAGCUAUCAGUUAGCUUUUCAGCUAACGACUAGCUUUUCAGCUAUUACGUCAAACAUAGUCUAAGUUGGUACCAUCGACACCAAAAUCCCAACGACAUGUGUUACUGUAAAUUCAUGGAUUAGACGGGUUGGAGAUGCCGCUCCUCCCACACUUCUCUCCUCUCUUUUGACCAAUGAAUAGGUAGAAAUUUAUUUAUUUUUCCAUUUUGUUACCCAUAUAAACCAUUCUCCACCACUUCAAAAACCACACAUUCUCUAUAAUUCAUCUACAACUUCUCAAAUUUCUUUCCAACCUUUAGAAUUUCAUUCCAACUCUCUUAUAUUUAGUGAAACUAUCCUCUAGUUAUGAUGAUUAUGUGUGCAUCAAAUAUUUUACAGAAAUAAGUUGUAUUUUACAUAUUCAUCUGAAUCUAAAAAUAAUAAAAUUCAACACUUUCUCGAACUGCAUGUGUGUUUCUUUAAGAAGUUGCAAGUUAUGCAUCACAAUUUGAAAACUCUUGUGAAGAGAGACCGUGAAACAACUGAAAAGCGUCUGAUCCGAGAUUACUUUGUCAAUACUGCAAUCUUCGGUGGUGAGAAUUUUCUAAGAAGCUUCCAUAUGAACAACACUUAUUCAUGUGUCUUGUUGAAGAUAUGGAAAAAAAAAAACAUAUCCAUAAACUGAAACAACAUGGGAUGCAAGGUUUCAUAGAAGUUACAAGUCAUUGCAAAAAUGCACAUCUACAAUAUGACAAUUAUCGUACAGGAAUAACACAAAUGUGUUGGAUGAGAACUUGAAUAUGUCGAAGAGAACUUCACAUGAAAGUAUUCAACACUCAUGUUAUGGUAUUCAUUAAGUUGUAUGGAGAUGAAUAUUUGAGCAAACCAACACCCAACAGCAUUCAAUUUUUGUAUGAUGCACAUGAAACCAAAUAUGAAUUUGCUUGAAUUCUUAGUAGCAUUGAUUGCACAUAUUGGAAUUGGAUGAAUUACCUAACAAAAUUACGAAUUUAUUACAUGAGAGGUGAUCACGAGUACCUAAUAAUGAUACUUAAGGUGAUAGUGUUACAAUAUUUAUGGUUCUACCAUGCAUACUACAGUUUCACUAGUUUGAACACUAACUUUAAUGUCAUAAACUAACCACCUAUAUUCGAUGCAAAACUUCUUGGAAAAGAACCCAAAUGUUCAGCUCAUUUAAAUGGAGAAGAAUUCAAGCAUGGUGUUAUCUUGUGGAUAAGAUAUACCCACGUCGGGAAACUUUUGUGAAACUAUUUUCAUACCCAACUACCGACUCAAAUACGGUUCAAGGUGGCACAAGAAGCAACAAGAAAGGACAUGGAAUGGGCUUUUAGCAUCCUAAAACAUCAUCGAGGCAUAAUAUGACUCCUUACAUGGGCAAUGCAUAGUAACAAAAUAAGAUAUAUAAUAUAAACUUUUAUUAUAUUACAUAAUAUAAUACUGAAAGAUAAGGGUGUUGUUAUAUGUCAUGCUCAUGAUAUUGAUCUCCCCACUAAAAGAUGAGGAUGUUGUUAUAUUUCAUGUUUAUGAUAUCAAUCUCCCCACUGAAAGAUGAGGAUGUUGUUAUAUGUCUUGUUCAAGAUAUCGAUCUCUCACACUAAGGUGAAAGUGAUGAAGAUAUGAUCAUCAAUUUAUGUGAUGUACAAAUCCAGAAACCCGCCACAAACUUCCCUCAACUCUUGUUGACCAUAUUGAACAAGCCUACAUACCCUCUUUAUAUAAAUAUUUUAUUUUAGUUAUCAUUUUAGGAAUUACAUUUUUCAUUUUACGAUGUUAAUUAAUGUAUGUAGUAGCUUGUUUUUUAGUAAAAUUUUGUUUUUAAUUUAAUUUUUAUUAAUUUAAAUUAAAAUUAGUAAAUCUUUAUUUUAUUUUUUUUAAAUAAAUAAUUAUGCGGGAUGGAGAAUUGGAGGGAUCAAUUUUUAUGUUUUGUUAGUCGAAUGAGAUGGAAGUAAAAAACAAAAAUUGAUAUGACAAUGAGACAACAUGUGAAUAAGGGAUAGAUGGAAAUGACAGAGUGACUCUGCCAUUAGGCAACAAAGUGAAUAAUAUAAAAUUUAAAAAAUAGUUGAUAACAUAUUUGUUUGAGAAUCAUUUUUAAACUUUCAUGAAAAUCAAUUUGCCAGUUGAACAUUAUCAUUUUUGGUUUUUUACUUUUUAUAUCACUUUGCUUUUAAAGGUAAUAUAAGGGCAUUGUUAAGUCUCUUCAUCGAUGACAUAAAAAACCUAUUGAUAUGUUAUUUACUUAAGGAACCAAAGAAACAAAACUGAAAAUCCAAGUUUAAAUUCGUUAUCUACCGUUAGUUAUGGACUCUUAACCCGGUGUUAUAUAAUUCAAUAAAAAGAAUGGUAAAUAUGAGCCAAUUUUGCCUUGUUUUACAGGACCAACAUAUUAUUGGUCUUUUAUCCUUUUAUUGUAGAAAUUAUUAUUUUGUUAUUUUAUUGUUUAAAAAAUUUCAAGUAACUAAAAAUCAACAUACGUUUUUGUACAAAAAAAGAGUGGAACAUCCAUUUAAUUUAAUUAAUUAGAAAAAAUAGUAUAAUGUUCAUGGAUUAAGGCUCCAACUUUCCAAGUGAAAUGAAAUCUAGUACUUAGGAUAACCCAUGAACAUAAAUAAGACUAAAAAUCAACAAGCAUCGAACAUGCUUAUAUUUCUAACAUACACAACAUGACUCAAAAAGUGGACCAAUGAUAUGCGUACGUUUGGAGUAGUAUAUUCAUGGAUCAUUCUCUGGUGUUGUCCCACGUCCCCAUGGAUAACUUCCAAACCUUUCAUGCCUUGAUUAUAUUUGGAUUCUCUAAAAACUAGUGUUGCACAUAACGGCCUAGGCGGCCGAUUAUUCGACGUCUAGGUGCUUGGCGGUCCUCCACCGCCGACGUUUAUAGCUAAUCGGACUCUAUUAUCGAAUGUGGUCAAAACUAAUCAAAGACGGAGAUUAUCGGGUCUAGGCAGCCUUAUCGAUCAAUUAAGGUCAACAAAAAAAAUUAAGGGAAAAAGUGUCAAAGUGUUAGAAUUGCUUCUAGGGUUCUUCUUAUUCCAUUGCAUUUGUCUCUUUUCUUUUUUUUGAAAUUCUCUCUGUAGUUCGAAGGAACGAACGAAAGAAUGAACUGAAUCUUCUAAAAAGACCCCAUCUUCUUAUUCGAUGUCAUUUGUGUUGGGUUUUGAGCAUUCUAACACUCCUAAGUGUACAUGCAACCCUAAAUACCUUGGAUCUAUGUUUUCUCUAUUAGACAUGUAAAUAUGAACUUUCCAAGGUAUUCAUCCUAACUAGCAUAAUAACAUUGAUUCAUAUGAAUAUAUCAAGUUAGAAUUACAUACCUCUUUGAUGUAGAAUGUCUUCAUGAAGCUUGAGUGUAUAGUGCCCCAAGUGUGACACCUCAAAUGGUUCACACAACACCAAAUACACUUGGAAUAGAUUAGAGAGAAAUCCACACUUCAUAAAAACCGGCUAGCCCUUUCACAUAUAAUCUAGUGCCGAUUUUGUCAACAAUAAGAUGAUUAUAUAGUUAGUGACAAUUAGGGUAAACCCUAAUUGUCAUGGAUUUCCAUUUCCUUGGAUCCAUGGGUUCAAAUAUACCAUGGAGCAUCUUAUGGGUUUUAGCCCAACUUGACAAUCCAUGAAGCAUUAGCCCACUAUACAAGUAUGGAUGAUUUACACAAUCAACCCAUAUAUUUAAUUAGUCUUCUUUUGAUCACUUAAUUAAUCCUAGAUUAAUUCUUGAUCAAUACUAAUUAAAUAAUCUUAUUAAUAUAUUAGAACUUAUAAUAUAUUAACAAACCUUAAGUGUUAUUUCUCUCAUUAUAGUCUAUCCAAAUUCAUGAUGCCAUGCAACCCAAAUGGACCAUGCCGGGUCGGGUCAAGUCUUACCAAUUAUAGUUAUGGACUUAGACAUUAAUCCAACAGUCUCCCACUUGGAUAAGUCUAAAACUAUUAUUGCAAGUAUGACUUCAAGAACCGACUGGCAAUCGUAGCUCUCAAAAGCUUCUGUCGAACUCUGACCUUGCCGAUGAUCUCUGACCUUUGUCAAUGACUUGUCCAUUAGAUAAGGGAUCAUAUAUUCCUCCAUUCUAGAUAUCAUAUGGACUGAGACAUGGAUUAUAAUCAUUCUCUCUAUCCAUUUGUUGUUUCCCGAUUUCCGAUUUAUGACGACUGACUAAUUGAACAAAUCAAAUCAGUCCUGGCCCGGCCGAGCACUUCCAUUUGUCAUCAUCAAAUCAUCGAGGGGCCCACAGAUAUCGCUUUUAUCCCGAAGGUAAAAGGAAUGGAUAAACUUCGACUCAUAUGGCUUGUUCUACUACUUGUUGAAUCAUACACAAAGGCACGUUUUAUAGCACCGAGUUACCAAAUGCGUUUUCGUGCAAUCAAUGUACUAUCAACUCAUAGUAACAACUCAUAUCUCUAGGUUUGAAGAAUAUAAGAUAUUAUCGUCUCAUGAUCACUCGUGAUAAAAUCCAUGAAGUGAUUCCAAUGAGCGUAGGUUGAAUCCAAUACUCAGAACUUAUGAGCACUCAUGAGUGUUGUAGCACCACUUUAUCCAACAACUUAGACCUCUACAAGCCAAUCCAAGAUAGUCUUGAUUCAUAUCUACUUCCAACAUAUGACCGACUGUGGAUGGUUUGAAUAACUUAGUCAAUCAGGAAUAACGACAUAGUUAUUCUGGAAGUCAAAACAUGCAAAAUGAAGCACAAGAAUAAAUUGAAUCCAAUAUGGUAUCAANUGAACAUAAAUAAAACACCUUUUAUUUAUCACCAUAUGAUUACACAUUAUUCAUUGUAUACUGUUUCAGCUAUCAACUUUAUUCUUGAAAUUAAAACAAUAGUUGUCCCAUGCUCCAAGCAUGUACACUAUGUUUUCUAAACACUAGUCAUGCCACAUACCAAGUAUGCAUACUAUGUUUGUCUAUGAUCUUUACUUUGCGAAAUAGACCAAUUGAACAUAACUCCAAUGAUUCUAAUUUCACAGUCCCAAAUCCUGACGGCAAAUGCAAGAAUUCCAAAUUCAUGCCAUUUACUGAAAUCUAUUAGAUUCUAAACUUAUAUGCAUUGAUUAUCUUGUAAUGAUUAUGCACAAAGUCACAAAGACUUGACAACAAACAUUACAAAGCAUUCCAAAGGAGAUUAACUCCUUGAAAACAUCCUUCUUGCAUUAAGUUUUCUAAUAUGACACAGUUUUAUUGAACAACUUCCACCUAUGGGAUCAUUUCCAUAUUCCCCUGUUGACUAUCACUUCUGAACAAGAGUUGCCUUUUUUUUUAGAAUAUGUCAAUAUGGUCAUUCCAAGAAUUAACACUAUACUUUCAACUGUCCUUGAGCAACCAAUCUUUGGUAAACCUUAGAUUGUCCUCAACAAUUGUUUAAUCCUUUUAGUCAUAUCCAGUUCUAGACCUUUUCCCUUCUUAAUGCCCCAGGCAUUUGGAAAAUUUUAGAAAGGAUGAAUAUAGCACAUGU